rnacentral:lncRNA from 1 species
UUUUUUUUUUUCUGCCCACAUGCUCACACACUCCUAUCUAUUAAACUUGUAUGGAAAAAAUAUGCAAACACAUAUUAAAGUGAAACUGCAUUGAGAUAUGUAUUUGUAUAUUUUUUGAUGCGAAUUCAGCGGGUGAGAAAAUGGAGCAUGUGGCGUUUCAUUGGGUACCGGCCGGCAUCCACAGCUGGAAAUCUGGAAUGGAUGCCGGCAUGCCGCCGGGACCGGGCACCAGCAUCUUCUUCCUUCCCAUCGCUGCCCUUUCUUUUUUUUUUUCCCCUUGCGGUUGUGUUGCUUUGCUUGCCUGCGUUUUAACUUGCAGCUGGAUGCUUCUUUUCUUACAUCAGUGGGUUGUGAUGAGUGAUGACAUCAAUGUGGGCACGAUCUAGCUAGCUUUUCUUUCUUGUUUUUUUUUUCUUUCUUGUUCUUCUGUGAGUGUGGGCCGGGGUGGGGUGAUGAAUACUCUGAAACCUUAACUUAAGACCAUUCAAAAGCUGACUUGAUCCGAUUAACAAAUCUCCUGUCUUGAUACAGUUUAGCGGUCACAAAUACCUAGGCCCUAAGCCCCUAAUGUUAGGGGAGUCAGAAAUCUUCUGUCUUGCUAUAGUUUGGCAAUGGCAGGGCAUAUAGUUAUGCAACACGUACAAGUUAAUACUAUCUCUGUUUCUGAAAACUUCAAUUUCUAGAAUUAGUGUUGGUCAAACUUUUAAAAUUUUGAUCAACUUUAUAGAAAAGAGUAUUAAUAUCUAUGACAUAAAAUGAAUAUCUUAUAAAAAUAUAUUCUAUGAUAAAUCUAAUGGUACUAUAAAUCUUAGCAUUUUUUCUUAGAAAUUUGGUAAAGUUUGACCAAAGACAACUCUAUAAAUCGAAGCAUUUAUUUACAUGCCCAUUUCCACCUAGCUAGCAUCUACACAUUUGUAUAAACAAUCGGAGAUGACUUAUUGGAUGUCAGGUUGUAUCUAUACUUUCAUAUCAAUCUCACAUGUUAGGCAAGUUGCAUUCGCUCCUAUAGGUAACCAAACAAUAUUUUGGUUUUUCUUCUCUUUUGCUAAUGCAACCUACCAAACAGAUAUUCAGAAUACGAUUUCACUCAGUAUGCGUCAUGAUAUAUACGAUGCAAUCUCUAUCCGGCAAACAAACACACUCAAAGUGGACUCAUGGACUACACAAUACAAUUUUUAGUCCCAACAUGGGAGUAUAGGAAAAAUGACACACAUCUCGAUAUAAGAAAUCAACGCAGAAAAAUUAUGGUUCCCCAAAGUUACCGUCAGGAUACUAUUUUUUCUCGUACGGUCCAUCCAUAACAAAUUAUUGUUCAUUGUUCUGAAAAGUCAUGGCUAAAAGUAACGUUCGUUGAUUUAUUGUGAGAGAAUAACACUGUUGAAUUCGAGACUAUCAGGUGGCUCGUGCCAUUAGGGUCAUGUUUGCUCGUAGAUCAUGAGGAGGCAGCUUAACACUUAGAGCAAAACCAGCCGAGCUGCCCAAGCACUGACCUCCUUGUGCCAUGUACGUACGUGUAUAUAAUAGUCCUACUUCAUCUCUCCAUGCACAUGCACAGAACAAUAUAAUCACCCUCUUGAUAAUUUCUCUCCGAGUAUAUAAGUCUCUGCUACUUUCAGAUCAGAGCGAUUGAGAGCUUCAUGUUGUUGAGUCAAACGGCGAACCUUCAGAUUCUGGUGUAAUCGCCAGGAAACUUGCACUCAUUUUCCUCACCACAGGGGCGGCUGGCCUGGCGUGUAGCUUGGAAGUUCGCAACUUGCAAGCCGGCCGGCCGGCCGGAGGAGCCGACCAUGCAUUUCUUAUCCUUGCAUUGUGAACGAAUGAGCUCCCCAACUUGCAGCAAAAAGAGGGGAAUCGUCGAUGAUGUUUAUAUAUCGCUUAAAGGCUAAGAGACUGAAAUGAGGAAGAUAUAUCCGAUUCUCUUGGUUCUUCGAAAAGGAUAUUGACACUAACAUGAACCAAGAGGAUUCCUCGCACGUUGCCGUGGAUACAAAGACGAAAGAAUACAAAUAUGUUAGAAUAUGUAUUGUCUAAUUGGACAGCUUGUAUGUUCGUAGAAAUAGAUGAUUUGCUAAGGUAAAUAUUAUAAUUGUUUGAGCUAGUGAAUUUUAAUUAUGUGUGAUAAUGGAUUGUCUAGUUAGAUAGUUUGCAGUUGAGAGAAAUAGUUAGCAGAUAAAAUGGUAUUCUUUUUUGUACCCAUCCUCGUGUCUAUGGGCCAAGUAAUUAGAAGGGACCCUGCGCGGCCCGUUAACCCGUCCGGGAGCUGAGAGAAGAAUCACACGCCGUUGUCUGAUUAUCUAUCCAAUUCCACCGAUUACUAGUGAUAUCGAGUUCCUCAUUCAGUUCGGUAACAGCGUCUUAAUUACCUUCGGAUCAAUCGGCAGAGAGCUUUGCGGCUCCAUGUCCUGGAAUCGCCACCUUCUGGAGCUGUGAAAUGAAUCCCCUCCUGACGGCGGCCAAUGGCCUGGUCACGCCUGGUAAAAUUUAUUUUGCCGUUAUGGGGGCAUGUGUCCUGACUCUCCUAUUUAUUAAAUUCAUGAGAUGUGUGUUUGCACACUUCUCAAAGCAAAUUCAAUAGCUGAAAGAGUGAGGGCAUGUGCAUAAAAAAAUAGCUCCCCAAUUGAAUUGGAAUAUUCUCAAUAGGCAAGCCUGAUAAGUCUAAUACUGUAAGGUACUAAAGUGACUAAAGUUAAUACUAGCUAAAAUUUAGCAAGGGGAAGCAAACAGAGCCCUAGUAUACAAACUCUCAACGUGGAUCCAAUCAGCAAAAAUAUGCGGAUUUUGUCCAUCCAACGAGUAAAAAGGAAAAGGAAAAUCGCACGUGACGGAGGGGCGAGCGGGCUGCGGGCUGCCCACGUAAGCGGUUCAGAGAGCGUGGGCCCAUGAUGUUGGCCCGGGGCAGGCAGGAGAAUAAAUGGGCCCCAACGGCCCACGAGCAUCCCCGCAGACGUUCCUGCUCUUUCUCGCCAAGCACGGAUGCUCCAGUAAUAAAUCUCUAUGUUUUAAGUGUACUUAUUUCAACAAAGAUCGAUCCUUAAUUAACCAGGACAUAAGAUUCACUACGAAGCUAGCUGAUCAGAAAUAUAUUUAAGCAAUCAGCCUACCCAUCCAAAUUACUGUAUUUACAAGAGACCUCUUCAUCGCAAACGCAAAGACAAGGUAAAUAUAUAUAAGCUAGUAACUUGCUAGACUACGUUGGCAAAUUAAAGAACAAAAACCUACAUCCGGAUCUUAUAAGAACUUUUGUUUGAGACUAGCUAGAUCGACUACGUUGGACAUUUUAAUGAUUUCGGCCAACAGCUGGGACGAUCUAACUUGCUACAUAUGCCAAGCUAAUUAACUUGCAAACGUAUGUUUGGGAGUAGCUAUAGCUAUCUAGACUACGUACGUCUACGAUUGAAGGAUGAGAAAUUUAAACCCUGUUUGGUGACCUUCGUUUGGCUCUUGUUUGUCUUUUAUACACCAUAGUAAGAAGCUGUUUUUAAUCUCUACUCUUGAAAUAAAUUACUCCUUCUAUUCCUGAAAGCUUCAACUUCUAGAGUUUUCCUAAAUCAAACUUUUAAAACUUUGACUGAAUUUCUAAAAAAAUACACUAAGAUUUAUAGUACCAAAUUAAUAUUAUUAGAUUUAUCAUAGAAUAUAUUUUUAUAAGAUACUCAUUUUAUGUCAUAAAUAUUGAAGUUUUUUUCCUAUAAAGUUAGUCAAACUUUAAAAAGGAUUUGAAUGACACGAAUUCUAAAACUCGAAGCUUUCAGGAAUAGGGGGAGUAGAAACUAGUGGAACUAUAUAUUUUUUCACCAGAGUCAGAGCCGUUUGAAGCCAUGCCAAAUGAGCCUUUAAUAACAUAUGAAUUCUAGGCAUGCAAUUCUAUGUACUAAUCUACACAAAUGCUUGUCCAGAUUCAUCAUACCUAGAAUUACAUUUGUUUUGGGACAAAGUGUAUAUUCUAGCAAGAGGCCUGUCUCUAUCUAUCAUCACUUUGGCGUAGGACUUGACUAGGAUAAUUAAAUCAACGGAGUGCGUGCUACUUGGGAUGAUUGAUGGACAACAUCUUGAUGAGUCGAUUGAGAUGGACGGGCGAAAGCAACAUGGCACUGUCUGUUUGUGAGACGACGAUGACUCAACUGUGGCCACUACUAAUUAAUUAACCAUAUGCAUGAUUCUGUGCAAACACGUCCCGCUGGAAUUUAGAUCCUCUAGUAAUAUCAUACAAAUAUCUUAAUAUUUGUGUCUUAAUCAAUGGUUUUCAAAUUCAAAUAAAUUUAUAGCAAAAGACCGCUAACUUUUAUAAACGUCAAACUAACACUAGAUGUUCCAUGAAAUAUAUAAAAUUUAUUGUUAAAUUUAUUUUAGAAUAACUCUAGAAUUUAAUUUAUCUUGAGAUAGAGGCACAUAGUAGCGCUGAUACUUAUGUUUGUAUUCAUAUUGACAAAGAUUAAGGCCAUGUUAGGCCUUGUUUAGAUCCGAUUUUUUUUGGAUUUUGACACUGUAGCACUUUUAUUUUUAUUUGACAAAUAUUAUCCAAUCAUGGAGUAACUAGGCUUAAAAGAUUCGUCUCGCGAUUUACAAACAAACUGUGCAAUUAGAUUUUGUUUUCAUUUAUAUUUAAUACUUCAUGUAUGUGCCGCAAGAUUCGAUGUGACGAAGAAUCUUGAAAAGUUUUUGGUUUUUAGUGUGAACUAAACAAUGCCUUACUUGAGAUCCCGAUGGCUCUCUUAAAAAUAGUCAAUAUUUUCUGAAUUAUAUAGUAUGAACGUGCAGGCAUUAUAUUUAGUGUGCCAGAAGGUACAACCUUCUUAUUUUAAAAUUCGUCAUUACACCUAGCUAGCUAGGAGUUUCUUUUAAAAUGGCUGUGAUAGUAUGAUGCAUGCUUGCCCUUGGUUCACGUUCGAGGCUUACGUCACUAGAUGACGAUUUAUACAUAUGUAAUGGCCUGCCUAAUGUAUCCCUCUGUGGCUUGACUUUCUAGAAUCCAGGUAAGCAUGUAUUAUUGGUGAACAUCGAAACCAGAAUUUUUUUUCAACAAAAAUGUGAAUGAGCACGUAUUUUUUAAUUGUAAUUGUGGAGCAAGGCGCCCGAAGGCGGCUCCGUAGCUUAGUCCCAAAGUUUUGCGGUUGACGUCCUUGGUUUCCUUCAGGCUCGUCUCUCCUUUUCUUUUCUAAUUAACGAACGUUAGGUUGGACAUGCUUGACCUUUUUAAAAACCCAUCUUUCGCUAGGACACUGCUCUGCUAUUGAUAUGAAAACCAUUGUUUUAUAGGUGUGCUAUAAUUUAGGGAUGAAAUAGAUGCAAAACUAUACAACUCACUACUACUACACAUUUCAUUUUGUGUAGUGUUUCACAUAAGGGCUCCGAGGCGGGCGUUAGUUUUGCCCGCCACGGUUAUUCAGAGCUGGCCGAAGCCGGACAACCCACACUACAACCGCCACGGUUAAGAAUUAACUAUGACGAGCAAUUUAAAGUAACCGUCACGAUUAAUAUCUAUUAACUGUGGCGGGCAUUGUAGGAUAACCGACACGGUUAAUAAUUAACCGUGGCGAUUGCUUAUAAUGCCCGUCACGGUUAAUAGCUUAUUAACCGUGGCGGUUACGUUACAUUGCCCGCCUCGGUUAAUAGUUACAACAAAAAAUAAUUUAUAACUUUUUCAUAUGAAUUCGGAUGAAGACAAACUUUAUAUCAAAAUUGUAGCCCUCGACGAGAUUACAACUUUGUAGUUGAAAAGUUUAUGAAUUGAAACUGUUUAGGGUCCAAAAAAUAUCAUUUUAAGUGUGCAGAUUUUGAAAUUUAAAAUUAUCAAUCAAUCUCAGAUGUUGACAUGGUCUAUACAAAAGUUAUAGUUCUUGAUAGAAUCUACAACUUUGUAGUUGAACUGUUUUAAAUUUGAAUAUGUUUAGAGUCUCAAACAUGCGUUUGAAGGUUAUAGAUUUUGAAAUUUAAAAUUUUGAAUUCCUCAAUGAACUCCAAUGUUCACAUCGUUAAUACCAAAGUUCUAGUGGUCCACCUGAUCUACAUGUUUGAUAUUGACAAGUUUUUGAUUUAAAGUCACCUAGAUCAACGUUGGUUCCCCUCCCUCUCCCUUCGAUGAUAAUCACCGGAGGCCAAAGGGCGUGGGGAUCUAUCGUUUUAAUAAUUUUUUUCCACUAGGUCGAGUCUUUAGGGUUAGGGUCUCUCUAUGCAAGUUUUUAUUUGUUUUGGGAUUUAUUUUCUCCUCUUCUUCGGCGACUAUGAGAUGGUAGGGUGGAAUUGUGUUCUCUAUGGCGGCUCCGUUGAAGAUGCGGGAAACAACUACAACGUCGGCAUCCUCAUCGAUUUGAUGCAUGGAGACUUUUAUUUUCAAACGGUGACAUCAAGAUGGAGAUGAUGUCACGGGCAUGGAAUAAUUUUGUCUGGUCUCUUCUCCGUUUUAUCAUGGUUAGAUCUGGCCACGAUGAAAAACUAGGUAGAACAAGUUUUAGAUCAAUCUUUCUCAUUCUUCGGUGGUAGAAAGAAGAAGAAGAAAGACACCAGUGUCGGCGUCUAGACUCGUGGUCUAGACACAAACGAGUAUGAGUAUGCGUGACUACCUAAGCCUGGAUGGUGAUGCAAGUGGAACACAGAGAAUUUAUACUGGUUCGGGCCAAGGAUGCCCUACGUCCAGUGAGAUCAGAGGUCUGUAUUGCCUUGCACCCAAAGGUGCUUGUAGUAGGGGGUACAAGCGGGUUGCGAGAGAGGGCUAAGUCCCAAGUCUCGGCUUUAUGGUGGACAGAGUGCUGGUUGCUACCCUGCGGGUGAGUGUGGUGGUCGUGUGUAUGGAUCAACCUGUCUUGGUUGUGAGCCCCGGCUCCCCUUUUAUAGUCUCAAGGGGGCGCAGGUUUUUACAUGUGCGAUGGGUGAUUUUCCUCCGAUGAGUGGUGAAACUACAGCCCCGACCCUAUAGAAGCUUGCCCAUGCCGUCCUUGAGGUAUGGUUGACUGUAUAGGAGUAGUUACUCCUGUGGAGGGUCGCCGAGCCCUAUUGAAGUCGUGGGGGUCGGAUCGGUGAUACUGCAGCUUGUCCUGUAACAGUGGGAGAAGACAGCCAAUAGUGAUGCUGGUUAAUCUCCCCCAUUUCUCUUUCACUGUGAGGCGGUACUCUACACUGAAAGAGGUAAGGUUGUAUAGUAAAAGAGGUAAGGCUACAGUGACCAGGGUGGUUGGAAUAGUCGCCACCAUGCCCUGCUGCGAUAUGGGAGUCACUGCGCCUGUCACGUCGUGGGUACGGGCGCCGUGCGUCGGAAGUCUUGCCCUGAUAUGAUGGGGCGGCGUUUGGCGCCCGAGCCCUGGAGGGGUCGGGCGAGACGGAACUUACGCCCGAGGCUGAGGGGAUCGGGCGAGGCGGUGUCUGUGUCCGAGCCCCUGGGUCUGACGAGACGGAACUUGCGUCCGAGGCCCUGAGGGGUCGGGCGAGGCGGAGCUUGCGUCCGAGCCCCUGGGUCGGACGAGACGGAACUUGCGUCCGAGGCCCUGAGGGGUCGGGCGAGGCGGAGCUUGCGUCCAAGGCCCAGAGGGUCGGGCGAGUUGUGGUUUGGACCCGAGGCCCAGGGGGUCGGGCGAGUGGUGGUUUGGACCCGAGGCCCAGGAGUCAGAUGAGCUGGGGCCCGUGCCCUGGUGAUUGUGGUUAACUUGCUUUGUUCUUUGCGUUUUUUAUUGCUCUGAUUUGGGUAUCCCUUUUUAUGGUACCCAACAACCAGAAAAGAAGAAGUUUCUCAACUCCGCCUACAUGAAUGUUGGCCGUCGUUCAUUGGACAUCUGUUCUUAGGCCUUUCGCCGAGUGUUUACUAUGCAGUCAUCCAUAAUACAAAGUGUCACACAGGUUUGGUUUUGAGAUCUGGAGCUAUUCACAGCUUGGAUAUAAUUUAGAUGAUUUUUUUUGAAUAUUUGUGUAAUCUAGAGUGCUUGUAACGUAUUCAUUUACCUCGCUAUUAUCUAAUUAAUUCUUCUUUCAUUGUAAAAAAAUAUGCAAAUAUACUCAUUUUUAUCAUAACAAGUAUCUACUCUUAUAUUCAAAAGCAGUAUGUAGAUAUACUCAUUUUUCUAUAAAAAAAAGUAUCCACUCAUACUUUCAAAGCAGUAUAUAUUCAUACCUACUACCAAUAAACAACACUUCAUAUAUAUAAUCAUAAAUGAAUUUUAAAAAAGUAUGCAGUCCGUAAUGCCUACACGUGCAUACCAAAAAGAACAGUAUGUGUUUGCCAAAAAUAAUAAAAUAGUAUAUACGCAUACUCUCUUAUAUAUACUCAAUAAUCUUAGAAGUACGUACACGUACUAGUAUACAUGUACACGUUUUUUUUUACAAGCAUGUACACGUUCAAAUAUGUCUAUAUAUGUGUGCUCCGUUACGCUUCUCAGAUGAUUAAUAAAUAAUACUCACGUAUAUACCAAAAGUACCUAUAUAUACGUGCAUGUGGAAUACUUGUGCUUGCAAACGACAGAAAUAAUUGGGUUCUACCCAGACCCGUUAGGGGAGACGGGCCGCACCCCAACGUCUCGGUUUCCUAUCCGACUCGCGCUCAGCGGCGCUCAGGGCAGAACUUCUGCUCCCUUCCCCACUCGCGCUCAGCGGCGCUCAGGCUCGGCUCGGCGGCGGCGUCGGCGGCUCCCCCUUCCGCCUCUCGCCAGUCGCCUCCGUCCUCUGCGCACCGGCCGGCGACCCUGGGUACGCACCUCCCUCUCCCCUCCCGCCUCUGCUGUACCGUGGGAGCCCGGCCAGCUGCCCAGGGUGGCCGGGCCUGUGAUUUGGCGAUGCUUUUGAGCUACGGUGAACUGUUCUUUGUAUUUUCAGAUUUGGAACCAAAGAAUUAGAUUUUUCUUCUCAUGAUGUUUGAUUCUUUUAAUUCUUAUUAUUAUAUGGCAUAGGUUUUCCCAUCUUUUCUUCCAUUUUUACUGCUCAAAUUAUGCCUUUGCCCACUGGUCUGCUGGUUAAUUACUCUAUUUAUUAAAUUUCUGUAGAUACAGGUAGCCAAGAAGACAUCACAUGGGGGCGUUCUUGAGCUCCGCCGCCACCAAGGAGGACCAGCAGUGGGUGCACGGCGAGGCUCCGAGACCAGAUUCCUCCAAGAAGAUGCGGCUUUCGACCCCUCUCUGCAGCCACGGCCACCCGAGGCUGAUCCCGGGGCUCCCGGAUGAGAUCUCUAUGCAAAUCCUCGCGAGGAUGCCGCGGAUGGAGUACCUCAAGGCCAAGAUGGUCUCGUGGAGCUGGAAGGCGGCGGUAACUGGCGCAGAGCUGUACCGGCUGAGGAAGGAGCUCGGCGUGGCCGAAGAGUGGCUGUACAUACUGAUGAAGAUGGCAGAUGAUCAGAAGCUGGUUUGGCAUGCUUUCGAUCCGGUUAGCAACCAGUGGCAGAGGCUGCCACUUAUGCCUGGGAUCAGUCAUAGCAGAGUCUAUGGGUUGGGCUUGGGGGAUCUGGUGAGCGCUGGCAUAAGUAUCUUUGACAUUAUCAGAGGCUGGCUUGGUCAGAAGGAAUUGCUAGGCAGUAUACCAUUCUGUGGCUGUGCCGUCGGCGCGGUUGAUGGUUGCCUCUAUGUUUUGGGUGGGUUCUCUAGAGCUUCCACGGUGAAAUGCGUGUGGAGGUAUGAUCCCGCUGUCAAUUCAUGGCAGGAGGUGAGCCCGAUGAGCACCGGGCGUGCCUUUUGCAAGACUAGCCUGUUGAACAACAAGCUGUAUGUUGUUGGCGGUGUCAGCAAAGGCAAGAAUGGGUUAGCUCCGCUAAAAUCCGCUGAAGUGUUUGACCCAGCAACUGGGGUUUGGGCUGAGGUGCCAGAUAUGUUAUUCUCCAAAUCGCAAGCUCUACCGAUGGCCUUAGCUGAUCUACUGAAGCCUAUUGCUACUGGAGUGACCUCGUACCGAGGGAAGCUAUAUGUUCCUCAGAGCCUUUAUUCCUGGCCCUUUGCUGUUGAUGUUGGUGGAGAGAUCUUUGAUCCGGAGAGAAAUUCAUGGGAACAAAUGCCUACAGGCAUGGGUGAAGGUUGGCCUGCAAGGCAGGCUGGAACGAAAUUGAGCGUUGUUAUAGAUGGCAAUCUGUAUGCCUUGGAGCCAGCAACUUCUUCUGGCAGUGCAAAGAUAAAGAUGUACGAUGCUCAAGAGGAUACUUGGAAGGUUGCUGUAAGCCAGGUACCCGUUGGUGCCUUUGCCGAGUCAGAUAGUCCUUAUUUGCUUGUUGGAUUUCUUGGAAAGCUCCAUUUGAUCAUCAAGGAUGUGGGUAGCAAAAUCAAUGUCAUGCAAACGGACUCUCUGGAGCCAUUGGAUUCGCCAGCCCUUUCGGCUGGCACAACAUGUCAAGUCCCAGAUGUCUCCUUGGAGCAGGCAGAUGUUUGGAAAGCCAUCGCGUCGAAGAGUAUCACAGCUGCUGAACUUGUCAGCUGUCAGGUUCUCAGCAUUUGAGUUUUUAAGGUUGAGUUUCUCUGGAUCUUUGUAUAAGUUUGUGCGGUAGAUAUAUUUCUGCCGCCAUCGAAUUUGUCAGGUAACUUCUUGUGGUUUCAACCUGAAGAACAGAUAAUCUCCAUCUUCUGCUACAAAUGUGAUCAGUGUCUGCUGCAGUUCUGCUACAAAUGUGAUCAGUGAACUGCAGAAAUUCUGUCAGCAAUGUACAUAUGUGUGUGCAAUCUGGGUAGUUCAGUUUUGUAAUUGUUUUCUUCUACUCUUAUCUAUGUAUAUGUCAUUACAUAAAACUGAAUAAGGUUGUUGCAGCUUUGUCCAGUUCCAAAGGCAACAGUGCUGAGUCAAUGAACAGAGUAGUCUGAACCCUGUCCAUUGUUCAAACUGCUGUAAAUUCCAUUUUUCAUACCUUUUAGCUUGUUUGGUUUCUCCAUGGAAAGUGUGUGCAAUGAUCAACAAUGAUCCCCUUGAAGAGACAUGUGUUUCCCCCAUCCAGUGAUGCAUUCCAGAACCUGUUGAUCUUUACUCGCAAAAAAAAAAAAAUCCUUUUGGUUAGUCAACUUGAAAUAAAGUAUGCUCCGUUCCUGAGUUGUGCUCAGUCUUGGAUCUGUACAUAUGUAAUAUGUUCUUUGCUCGCUUUUCUUUCUUUGGUGCGACAUGGCACCACAUAAGAGUUUCACAUCAGAACAUUCUAAUGCAAGAAAAUCAGGUAUGAUCUCUGGAUAAUAUUAUAUGUUAUGGCAUCUUAGGAGCAAGCAGUACCAGUAUGAAUCGGAUCCAUGUUAUCAUGAUGCCUUACCAGAAGUUCUCUUUUUUCUUUGGUUGCCGGCUUUCUUGGAACUGUUGCUGGUCAAAAAAAUUGUGAGGCUCUUCAGUACAGCCAUUUGUGAUCCAGACUUGGCGUGUCGUUUUCUGUCUCUCUGUCGAUUGUCAACAAUAACGGCAAACAAGAAAAAAUGUGCAAAGCAAAAAUUGUGGAAAGUGUCUCAUGAUUACGAUGUUAGCAAGUAGCACUAUCACGUCUGCAAGGACUUUGGUUAUUAUGUCGAGGUGCUAGAAGUACUCUGGUUACUUUGACGUAAUGCGAUUGAGUCAAACUUCCUUUGUGAGGAAAAUGAUUUUAAAUUUACUUGUAUUUUUCAAAUUCAACGGGCUAGUUAUGUAUAUUUCAUUUCAUCAUCGUUUCACUGUUUAGGUGAUUUGGAUUGUGACUACUGGCUAGGGCUGAUUACUGGAACUUGAAUGCACGUGCGUCGGGAAUAGUCUUUUGCGGAACAUUUUCAAUAUGAUUACCCAAUUGAGGUACUUAUUGAUUCUGUUUAGAACCUUGUUCACUUCAGUUUAUAUAAUUUACAUUUAAAUUAAGCCUGGUUAUAUAAAGCUGCAAUAUAUAAUGGGUUGUUUCAGAUGCUGGCUCUCCUCAAAUUUGAUGCGUGCUUUUCUGAUUGCUGUGUUUUCGUACACAUUCUUUUGCACUAUGUACAUGGAGACUUUUUAAUCAAUCUGAAGAAGUAGCUUGCCAUGCUACGAAAACAUUGGUGUUGUGUUCUGCAGAUUGGAGUUCAAACCAUCUAUUUCAACAUUUUAAAGGCAUUAUUCUUAUUUUUUACAUUAAAGCAUUGAAGUACAUUUUGGAAAGUGUUUAAUAAAAUUUGAAGAAAUGUUGAGACCCCAUUUAGAAUACAGGUUUUUUUUCUACUUCCUACGUUUCUCUAAAAAGUAUAAACUAAUUCCUUUUUUUUUGCGGAUAAGUAUAAACUAAUUCCUGUGAUAAUCCGGUAUGUUUCAUAUCAAUUCAUGAUUCCAAAGUGCCCUAAAUUUAGUAUUUUGAAAUGUUGACUAGUAGUUCCAAAUUUUACAUUUUACUUUAUCAUUUCAAAAUCUCCACGUGAAUGUUUGCAAACUGUAAUCAGGUUCUGAGAAUUGUUAAAUCAAUCACACCAAAGUUGGCUCGUACUAUCUCGCGGACACGUGGGUCCCUUUUUCGCACGUGCGCGCCGAAACCGGACGCCGUCACGCCGGUGCCGUCGCCGCCAAAAUCCGCCGCGGUUUCGCCUUGGCGCGGCCGCCCACCAUUUCUGCGCGGCCACCCCACAGAAAAGCUUCGCCCAUGCCGUCGCUGCCGACGCCGACGCCGACGCGUCGUCCUCUUCUUCUCUCUCCACCUCAUUCGAACCCGCCAUGGCCGGCUCCAAGCCCCUUCCGCUCCGCCUCGCGGCGCCGCUGGCCCUCGCCCUCCUCCUCGCGCUCGCCCUCGUCGCCAACUUCCUCUGGGCCGCCUCCUCUCGUCGAGUCUCCCCGCUCUCGGCCUCCUCUUCCAGAACGGUAACCACGCCGCCGCGCGCCGCAUUGCUCUCCACGAUCUCACCAGCGACAUGCUCUAUUGCUCUGAACGAAUUUCUCGUUGCUCUAUCUACUCUAACCAUUGCUCCUCUCUCAGGUGAUGCGGAAGCGCGCAAAGGCGGUGGGGCACCUGAACGCGACGUACGCAGACCUGCCGGCGCCGCACUGGGACUGGGAGGAGAUGCCCGCAGCGCCCGUGCCACGCCUCGACGGGGCGUCGGUUCAGAUUGGGAAUCUCCUCUACGUCUUCGCCGGAUACGGGGACAUCGACCAUGUGAGGCACCUUUGUUAGUUUACUAUUGCGUUAUUAUUCCUCUGGACGAUUUCCUUUUAGCAAUGUUUUCACGCAUCACUUAACAAGAUUGAGCGGCUAGUGUAAGUGUUCGGUUGUGCUGGUAAAUAACUAAAAUAAGUCACCAAUCGAAUUAUGAGCUAAUUCCAUGACAUCGAAGCAACCUGUGCAGUAUCUAGCUGUAAGGUUUCAACUUCUCCAGGAAUUUUUUUCAUAACGUUUGGGAUUUAAAAUAGGAGGAUCUGUAGUAAAUGGGCAAGACCAAGCAUUUCUUAACAUGUUGAAUGAUUACUAUUGCAAAAUCUUGGCAGUAUCCUUCCUUUCUGAUAUAUUGCUUUGUUCCUUGCUUUUCAGGUCCAUUCUCAUGUUGAUGUUUAUAAUUUCACUUCUAACACAUGGGCCGAAAGGUUUGAUAUGCCCAAGGAGAUGGCACAUUCUCAUUUAGGAAUGGCCUCAGAUGGUAGAUACAUUUAUGCAGUUUCAGGACAGUAUGGACCACAGUGCCGCGCCUCGAUCAAUCGCAACUUUGUUUUUGACACAGAGACUAGAGAGUGGCAUGAGUUGCCCCCUUUACCACUUCCUAGGUAUGUAUGGUAGAGUGCACUUAGUUUAUUAGCCACAACCCGUUCAUGAAGUUAUGCUUAUGUCUUUUCUGUGUUAUUCAUUUUCAGCUUCUAUCAUUUAUUAUCAUGGACACGCUUGUUCAAAUUUGGUCUAGUCCAUUGGCUUUACCAACUCAUGGUACUGUCCAAAAAAAAUGUUAAACACAUAAUGCCAUCUAUCUGCUUGUGUUAUACUCUUUUUCUUCUAAUUUUGCAUUUUCUAAUGUCUGAGCAGCUGAUUAACAAUCAAAUUGUUGUAUUUUGUAUAGAGAAUAAUCUUUUAGUAUGUCACUUGAUCAGCCUAAUUCUACAAAAGGACACUAACCUUUUAGCAAUACAUGGAAUUAUUUAUUUUAUGGCCCUCUAUAUACUGCCAAUAUUUAUUUUCAAAAUCUGCUGAAAUGGUUCAUUGCUUGCAUUGUGUAUUGCUCUAUUUGAUGCUGCUUAGCUGGUACAUAGGACCUGAAAAAAAAACUUAUUUUGUGAAAAAUUCAGGUAUGCACCAGCUACUCAGCUUUGGCGUGGGCGGCUCCAUGUGAUGGGUGGAGGCAAAGAGGACCGCCAUGAACCUGGAUUGGAGCAUUGGAGCCUUGCUGUCAAGGACGGCAAGGCACUGGAGAACGAGUGGCAAGCUGAAGUACCCAUACCACGAGGUGGACCUCAUAGGUACGUCGGUGUGAACUUGUGUCAUUUGCAUGCAGUCGCCAUGAGGUCAUGCCUGUUCUGAGGGAUGAUUGUUGGUAUCUAGUGCUUAGGCACUCAUACUGUUUAUCCUUUGUAGUGGUACAGAAGUUCUGUUGGUUGUACACAUUUCUAAAUGAACAACACUUUGUAAUUUCUGACUUCUACUUUGCAGGGCAUGUGUUGUAGCUAAUGACAAACUAUUUGUGAUUGGUGGACAAGAGGGAGACUUUAUGCCUAAACCAGGAUCACCUAUUUUUAAAUGUGCACGGAGGCAUGAGGUGUGUAUGUGGUUCCUGAUGACGCUUAUCAUGCACUUGUGGUUUAUUUACUUGUCAUCAAGACCUGCAUUGGACCCAUGUUGAGUUGUACUCAUGAAAACAUGGUAUCUUUAACACUUUUUUUGGUGUUCACAAUUUUCUUUAAACAAAUAAGUUCCUGCAGUUGGGAUAUUACUUCCUAAUGAUCGCUUCAACUUGAACAUCAAACAAAAAUAUAUACUUUCAAUAUCAGCCCUGAUGUCCAAAUUCCUCUUUUGUGUGAAUUCGCAAUGAUCGCUUCAACUUGAACCUCAAAUAAAAACCUAUACUUUCAAUAUCAGCCCUGAUGUCCAAAUUCCUCUUUUGUGUGAACAUGUUGCUGCAGCUUAAUUCUUAUAUGUUCAGAAUUGCACUCUUGCAGGUUGUGUAUGGCGAUGUGUAUAUGCUAGAUGAUGGUUCCAAGUGGAAGCAACUGUCUCCAAUGCCAAAGCCAGAUUCCCACAUUGAAUUUGCAUGGGUUGUCGUUAACAACUCCAUAGUAAUUGUUGGAGGAACUACAGAGAAGCAUCCUAUCACCAAAAAGAUGAUUCUUGUUGGUGAAGUCUUCUGUUUUGAUUUGGAAUCGUUGGUAAGUUAUGUCGAAGCCAUUUUCUUUUUAUGGCUGUUUUUCGUUUUAUUGAGUCCAUGGUGGUUAUCCUCCGAAUUUUGAGGGUCCAACUAAAUGAAUUAAAUCUCUAUGCCAUUCUUGCAGACCUGGUCAGUCAUUGGGCGCAUGCCUUUCCGAAUCAAGACAGCCUUAGCUGGGUACUGGGAGGGGUGGCUCUAUUUUACUUCUGGGCAGCGAGAUCGUGGGCCUGAUAAUCCAGCUCCAAAGAAAGUUGUUGGAAGUAUGUGGAGAACGAGGCUACACUUGUGAUGGUAGAAGUUGUGGCAGUUUUUCUGAAAAUUUGUAGAUUUGCGUCUGAUUUCUAGUGUAACAGCUAGGUCCCUCUCAGAGAAUUUGCUUGUAUUUAUUUUGUUGUCUUCGAAUGCAUAUUAUCUAUUUUGACUAGAUUUUUUAAAUUUAACAUUUUGUCUACUUGCUUGUAAAUUGCCUGAGUACUGGCAGUAAAACCUUGUAAAUACCGCCUUUUCCAACAGAGGUGUUUGCCUAAACAAAGCAAAGGUUUCUGGCUUGAGGUAAAUCUGCAUGACUGGAUCUGUUUCCAUUUUCUGACAGCCAGGGGGCCCCAGGUGUGCAUCCCAUUUUUUGUAUCCUAAAACAUGUCAACCUGAUUUCUUGUUAAUAUUGUUUACUUGUUUUGAUUCCCACAUCCGGAAUCUGAAGUUCAGAGAUGUCUCCAAACAACCAGAACCAGAAGAGAUGUCCUAAAACAAUCUUUGCCCUCUAAUGGACGCUAAUCUAAGAGAUGUCUACAGAAAUCAGGGAUGUCUGGCUUGAUGUUUCUGUUUUUUUUCCCCUUCAUCAUUCAGGCCGAAGUACUGUUGCAGCCCAGGGUCAUCGUGUGGAUCCCUGCCGGCCGGCUCGAUGAGUUUCCGGCGGUUCCUGUACGUGGUGUGGGACGUCGAGGCAAUCGACGACGGCAGCUGCUCCCUUCGCCGCAUCGACACGUCGCGCCUCUUCUUCAAUGCAUCGACGCCGACGGCGGAGCAGGGGGCACCAGUGCCGCUCGACAGCGGCGGCGGCGGCGGAGGAGCUACUGAUCCGUCGGCGGCACAUGACGGCGGUCGCCUGCCUGACCCCACAAUAAAGGCAUAAAGCUGUGCCCUCCUAUCUUGCCGCGCAUGGUCGGUGGAGUUGGGGUCCUGCUCUUCAAGAACAAGGCCGCCAUGGGUGGGCGCGGGCACGAGCUCGAGUACGACAAGGUGGUCGCCGUCGACCGCACGGGCCACAGCUUCAUGUGCGACCCUGAAGAUGAGCCCUUCACCGUCCGCCCCCUGCCCAGCCUGACCGCUCCCAAGUUCUCACCCUUCUCCGUUCUCCCUCACCGUCGGCGAGAGUCUCUACGUCAUGGACACACUGUACGUCAUUUUUUGUCUUUUUCUUGUUAUUUAUCCUCUGUUGUGAUAUAGAUGGCAUAUUGACAACAUGUAAUUUCUAAAAUCAAAUAUUUGUAAUUUAAGGAAACUUUGCGGAUAAUUAACCUGUUUUAAAUGCAUACCGAGGCAUAAGGUGGUGUGUACUGCACCUGUGCUUUAUUUGCUGGUUAUCAAGACCUGCACUGCAUUGGACCAUGUUAAGUUUACUCACAACAUGAAAACAUGCUAUCUUUAACACUAUUGUUUCUUUUUUUUUUUGUACAUUUUCACUGAACAAAUAAGCUCAUGCACAUGGUUGGUAUUGUAAUUCCCAUAUGCCACGGAUCUGUAGUAUCUCAUACUCAACUACUACACUGUGUUUGUUUGGCUUCAAACUCAUAGUAUCUAUUUUAGUUAGAUAGAUUAACUUUAACAUUUAGGUUAUUUGCUUAACUUAAACAUUUAGGUUAUUUGCUUCUUAUAAAUUACCUAAGUACUGACAGUAAAACCUAGCUGUUGUAGUUACCUCUUUUCAACAGAGAUAUAUAUAUAUUUUUUUUGCUUAUGAAAGCAAAGGGCUUUUUACGUUAUAAGGUAGAUCUUCAUCGGUCUCCAUUCUCUUGCAGCCAGGGCCCAGUUAUUGAGCCCACUUUUUUUUGCAGCCAGGGCCAGGGCCCUGAUUUCUUGUUCAUGCUGUCUACUUGUUUUGAUUCCCACACACGUCUGGAAUCUGAAGUUCCUAAUAAAGAAAUCUUGCCCUCCAAUAGACUUAAGCACCUAUCGUCGACCUGUUCUGAAAAAGAUUAUUCUAUUUGAAAUGUUCCAUGCAAAGCAAUGGAAUAAAGGAGAGCCACCAUAUAUGCUCAUGUAUAUUCCUUUCCCUAGCUGUUGCAAAGAGGAUGGAAUUGUUUCAGUCUUUUGAUUUUUCCCCUUGUCUUUUUUUUUCUAUUUAAUUAUCCUCCGUUACAGCUGGGUUCGUUAGACAUUCCGUUUGUACAGUCUUGUUGUGUCAUCACUGACCAUACAUGACAAAAAGAAAAUGUCCAUUUUUCUGAAUUCAUGCAUUAUGGGCAGAAAUGUUCUCCCCUUAUAUAAUUGCAUUGAAGUAGUGUCAAUUAUUGCAUCCUUUUCCUCUUGUCAAAUAUACUUCUUUUGCGUGCAAAAAAAGAGAGAACUGAUUUUCCAAGAUGAAGAAUUAGCUUGUCCUGCUAGAAUAAUCGUCAGAUCCGCAAUAACUGCGAUAAUUAUUUAUAUAAAUUUUUUCCCUUCUCAUGAUGCCGAUCCAGCCCAGCUUUAGCUGUUGGGGGGGGGUUGGGGGGGAGAGGACACACACGGCAUGAUGUUUUCUUUUUUAGAAAAGGGAAUAUAUACAGCUUACAACUGAGCUGUUGUGAGCUGUUUUUUUUGCCAAACACUUAUUUCCAAAACAGCUUCAUGGGUGAAGCUAUUUUUCCCCUCCUCUCACAAAGACAUAAGUUGAAUGAAGCUGGAAAAAAGUAGCUUAUUGCAGCUUCUCUCUCAUUUCUCUCUCUCAACUAUGCAUGAAGUAGUUGGUGAAGCUAUUUUGCCAAACACUUUUUCCAAAACAGCUCAGCUUCAUCUAGAAAGUCACUCAUAAAGCUAUUUUCUGAAAAAACAGCUUCAUGAAGCUGAGCUGUGCCAAACAAGCCUACGAUAUGAUGGUGACUCACAUAUAACUAAUUAACCUUUGCCGGCGUUUACAGGGGGCUGUCACGGUUAAAUUAAAACUGACUAAUCACGUGAGCCUGUGAAUCUGAAAGAGCUUUCUUUCGGUCGGCACCACUGUCAUCAGUUGUUGAACAGGCGGUGGCGGACGGACGACCGGCAGGCUGGCCGGCGAUGAGCCGUCGCUGUUGCGGCCAGGCAAGCUCUGCACGUACGGUCACCAACUCCCACCGCGCAAAUCCAUGCUGUGCACGGGUAUCUGGUAAAUCUGACAGUGCCAUAUAUUUAGGGUUUGUUUGGCACAGCUCAACUUCACUAGUAAAGCUGUUUUUUUAGAAAAUAGCUUUAUGAGUGACUUUCUAGAUGAAGCUGAGCUGUUUUGGAAAAAGUGUUUAGCAAAAUAGCUUCACCAACUACUUCAUACAUAGUUGAGAGAGAGAAAUGAGAGAGAAGCUGCAAUAAGCUACUUUUUUUCAGCUUCAUCCAACUUAUGUAUUUGUGAGAGAAGGAGAAAAACAGUUUCACCCAUGAAGUUGUUUUAGAAAUAAGUGUUUGGCAAAAAAAACAGCUCACAACAGCUCAUGAAGCUGUUGUGAGCUGUACCAAACAGGCCCUUAUUUAGCUCAUUUUCGUUCCUUUUGUUUGUUUUUUUUUUAAAAAAAGAAAAUUCUCGUACACGCAUGUGUGCAUUUCUUUGAUGUUGCUGAAUAUCCCUGCAUCUAUAGGUGAGGCGUGUGCCUGACAAAACGGAACCACUACAAGCAACGUUGUAAUCAUGCGGUAUCAUGCAAGCACCGGCAACCCUAAAGUCUAAUGGAUGAUUUCCCUGAACUGCAGGCUACCACUUUUGUUCGCCAUCGCUCAUCGGCGUCGAGCAACGCCGGCCGCAUCUUUUGCCGGCGCUGGCGGGUCUUUUCUGCUUUUUUUUUUUUCUUUUGACAACGGUGAGGCAAUAUAUUUUUAGAUGAGUACGGUGCUGCCCCUUUUUUGUGCAGAUAUUAUUAUACUUAUAUGCAAUUUUUUUUCCUAACGCUAAACGGUAAACAGUCGGUCACCCACCGUUUGGCUAUUAUUUAGACUAAACAGUCAUUAAACGAGCUAAAUGGUCGAUUAAACAGGCUAAACGGAUGAUUAAACGAAAACGACGUACCAAUGUGUAGUAUUUAUACGGUGAUUACAUGGUCUAAAUGACCGUUUAGACGAACAGUGCUUAUAUGACGUGCAAUGCAACGACGACCGAUUAGGUAGCGCGUUUAGGAAGGAACCCGAUCUGACAAACGCAAUUAGCGCUAUGGAUGUUGACGUGCUAAUUCUGUACGGUUGUGUGUUUCAUCGGCUUUGUGCCUUUGACUGUGGCACCCGGCCAUACGCAAGAAAUUAAAUGAACCUGGGUGCAGACAAAGUUGUUAUAGAAAUGAACCAUGACUAAGGCCUUGUUUAGUUUCAGAUUUUUUUUCAAAACGGACACCGUAGCAUUUUCGUUUGUAUUUGACAAAUAUUGUCCAAUCAUAGAUUAACUAGGCUUAAAAGAUUCGUCUUGCAAAUUACAGAUAAACUAUGUAAUUAGUUAAAUUUUUUAUCUAUAUUUAAUGCUUCAUGCAUAUGCCGCAAGAUUCGAUGUGACGAAGAAUCUGAAAAAUUUUGUAAAAUUUUUUGGGAACUAAACAAGGCGAUUGCUAUAUACAAAUAUACUAAGGCCCUGUUUAGAUUUCCACCCAAAAAAUUUUCAUCCAUCCAUCAAAUCUUUGGACACAUGUAUGGAACAUUAAAUGUAGAUAAAAAAAAUAAACUAAUUACACAGUUUGGUUGAAAAUCGCGAGACGAAUCUUUUAAGCCUAGUUAGUCCAUGAUUAGCCUUAAGUGCUACAGUAGCCCAGAUGUGCUAAUGACAGAUUAAUUAUGCUUAAUAGAUUUGUCUUGCAGUUUCCUGACGAGCUAUGUAAUUUGUUUUUUUAUUAGUUUCUAAAAAUCCCUCCCGACAUCCUUCCGACAUAUCCGAUGUGACACCUAAAAAUUUUUCAUCCCCAAUCUAAACAGGCACGAUAAAAGAAAUAAAUGCCAUUAGAUUAGUUGUAGAAUAUAUUUUAAUAAUAAAUUUAGUUGGAGACAUAAAUAUUAAGACUAUCUCCUAUAAAUUGGGCCAGACUUGAGUUAGUUUAACCGGCAUGAAUCCUAUAAUUACACUCUUUUGUAGAUAAAAGGGAGUAUUAGCUUUUAUCUACUGCUAUUGAAAGAGAAAUUAUUACUGGAUCUUUUUAUCCUUUUCUGUUGGGAUAUUUGGAUGGUAAGAAAUUUUGUCAUCUUUAGAAACAAGAACCCAACAAUGAAAGUUUGCAAAAAGAUUUUUAGUUUCAGAGACCUUGUUACUGCUGCACAGAGCAAAAGCGAGUUUAGUUUCGCAUUUAGAAUCAUGGUUAAACUCCUUUGUAAUUCUCUGGAUCUUUUUUCUCUCCUUCUCUAUUCCCUGAUUCUCCCUUCUAGCUGUAGCUUUUCCUUUUACUAGCUUUUGCUCUGUUUUUUUAUUUGUACUCUGUUUUGUUUAAUAAAAUUACAGUAGAAGCUGCUAGCUCCAUCUGAUUCCUAAAAAAAAAUAGCUUUCAUCGACUAGCAUAUAGUUAUUAGCACCAGUGGAUCAAAUAAGACCUAUAUUUAGGCCUCGUUUGUUUAGUUGAGGAUGUGAAAAAAAAUUUAGAUACUAUAGCACUUUAAUUUUUAUUUGACAAUUACUGUCCAACCCUGAUCUAACUAGCUUAAAAGAUUCGUCUCGCAAAUUACAGGCAAACUGUGCAAUUAGUUAUUUUUCUAUCUAUAUUUAAUGUUUUAUGCAUGUGCCGUAAAUAGGUUUUAGAUGUAACUAAACAAGAUCUUAGUAAAUAUUUAUAAACGUGAGGCAGCAUGCUGACGCUGAUCCAAAGGCGGUGAAAAGAGUCAAAGACAAGCACAUACGUGUUCGUCCGCUCUUUAAAAUGAGUACUCUUUUUUUUAGAAACUAGAGGGUAUACUGCACGGGUAGGGGUGAGUAUUAAAAUGAGUACUCUUUUUUUUAGCAUUAGUUUUUUUUUCUAAAAUAAGGGCCUGUUUAGAUUGGGAUAAAAAUUUUUUGGGUGUCACAUCGACUGUGUCGGAAGGAUGUCGGGAGGGGUUUUUAGAAACUAAUAAAAAAACAAAUUACAUACCUCGUCAGGAAACUGCAAGACAAAUUUAUUAAGCAUAAUUAAUCUGUCAUUAGCAUAUGCAGGUUACUGUAGCACUUAAGGCUAAUCAUGGAGUAACUAGGCUUAAAAGAUUCGUCUCGCGAUUCUCAACUAAACUGUGUAAUUACUUUAUUUUUUUAUCUACAUUUAAUGUUUCAUGCAUGUGUUCAAAGAUUCGAUGAGAUGGAUGAAAAAUUUUUGGGUGGAGAACUAAACAGGGCCUAAGUGUCGUGAUAGGUAAACAUGUAGCACUUUCUACUCCAACCCAUAAGAAACACAAUAUAGGCUAACUUUACUGGAGGUAUUUGGUCAUUUACCGAACAGGAACUGAUUUUUUCAGUUCCGGUUAUUUCAGUUUUAAUUCCAUUAUUUCGAUCGGUUCGAUUUUUGGUAUUCUGUGCCCAGAGUAAAUUACCGGUUCCAUUGGUAUCUUUGUGAGAUGGAGUAUAUGCAGGGACGAAUAUAAAAGUGGUGUGGGUGGGGCUGCAGCCUUUGCCCCUACCGCUUCCGUGACAAUGAAACUCUUUCUAAUUUUAAUUUGCAAGCCCCUACCGCGUGUUGCCAUGCUUCAAUUGUGGUGUGCCAUGAGUUGAAAAGCCGUUGUUUGGUUCAAGAUGCAGGUGCAGCAGCCAUAGCUUUUCCUUGUGCAAAACACACGCGGCGGCAAAAAUAAACGAAGCUAGAUAAGCUACCAUUUUUGGGCUCCAACGGCUUCCGGAGCAUGAAGGAAGUGCCACCGGAGCCGCUGGAGCCCCCCUUAGCAAAACCCUUACUAGUGCCGACGGACGACGGUAGCACUGAGAGUGACCACGUCUUCUCGUAUUAGGUUAAAUUGCUUCAGAGGGUGCAAUCAGCAGUGUAACCAUCACGGGAUAAUCCUCUCCAUUGGCUUGGCUUUGCAAUUGCACCUGCCCUCGGGCAGCUGCGGACACCUCAGCCAGCCACGUGGGAUCCUUCUGGCAUCAUCCCUCUCCCUCUCGCCACGUGUCUUUCCCCUCCCCCACCCCGCACGAGACGAGACCUCCCCCGAGGCCCAAGCAAAGCACAAAUCCCUCCCUCGACUCGAACCCCACCUGCCACUCCCACUGCCUCGUGGGACCAGGUCUCCGUGGGCACCUCCCCCCGAGAUUGCGAGCCUUUUUAAAAAGGCCCACUUCCUCCUCGUUCCGACCGGACCACUCGACCUCUCUCAACCGUCGGCAUUUUACAGCUCUGACCUCACCCUCUCCGGCGAGGCCACUUCCUUUCCCGCCCGCGGCCGGCCCGCAUGGCCUCCACAGGCGACGGCCUCGCCGGUCCGCCCCCGCCUCGCCCGCCUCCGUCUCCGUCGCGGCCACCUGCCGAGACCCCGACCCCGACCCCGACCCACGCGGCGGCGAUCUCGUCGCCGCUGCUGGAGCCUGCCGCGCCGGGCGCGGACGCGCCGCCGCUCUCGCGGUGGCUGCGGCGGCUCGAGGCGUUCCUGUCGGCGGCGGGUCUGGCGGCGUCGACGCCGCUGGGCGUGGCCGCGGCGGCCUCCGCGCUCGCCGUCGUGGGCCUGGCGCUUCCCGCCGCGGCCGUCACGCUCUCCCCGUGCCGCGCACGCAGCCGCCGCCGCCGCCGCGGCCGAGGCGGGUGCGACGACUUCGAGGUCGAGGUGUUCGAGGUCUGCGUCCUGCUCUCGCAGGCCGCCGCGGCCGCCGUCGCGCUCGCCUGCGUCUCCCGGAAGAUGGCCAUGUAUGGGCUCCGCAAGUUCCUCUUCGUCGACCCGGACCUCGGCAUGAGGAUCCGAUUCCAGAAGGAGUACGUCGCCAAGAUCAAGGUGAGGUGCCCGCGCGAUCUCGUCGGGAUUAUUCCUCGCUAUCCUGUCCUUGCUCGGAUUUUAUUUGAAUUUGUAUCAAUACGGCAAGCAGUUACAGUCGAAUGCUAGGAGUAGUGUCCAAAUCCGAUAGUGAGAGCAGUUGCUAUAAAUGGUCACUACUCGUGUUACGUCUGAUACUUCUACUUACUGCUGCUCCACUAGUGGAUAAUUUGGUGCAAAUUUGUCCCAUUUCGACCAAAUUUGGUGCAACUUUAUGCAUCUCAAGGAGGAAUUGUGGAAUUCAGGUGCCAUUUGAUUGUUUCUAGGAAACUUGGAGAAUAUUAAGGCUAUGGUUGUCAUUUCCUGCUUAUAGUAUUUAAUGGGAAGAUUGCGUGUUGCAACCUCUAGCAGCUUCUACUGAAACCUCAUGUCUAGACUAGAUCGUUGAUUGGCACUUCUGAAUUUUCUGUUCCAUGUUUCAUUGACAUGUGGAGCCAGGGGGAGCAUACAUGUCUGUGAGAUGAUAUAUGUCUUCUCAUGUUACCAUAACGAUUGGAGCUACAAAUCCUAAAAUCUCUUGUUUAAUCUGUGCCGCCCUGGAUCAUUGGCUUUGUCCUUUACUGAAGUGGCUUGUUCUUUCAGUUACCUAUGUGAUCUACAUGUGCCUCCUUCAUGUUACCAUGUGAGUGGAGCUCAUGUGCGUGUGGUACUCAGUUUAUGUUUGUGCCGACAUGUCUCUGUGUCUUUGUUUACUGUUUAUACACGGAAACGCAUGUUAGGGGCUGGUCAAGGAUUUGGGAUCUGGAACAGGAACACCUAGUAUUUCCUUGGCUUUGUUAUUACCAUUGUGAUUUUUUUUUGUUAUAGAAUGAAGCACACAUUUCCAUUUCCUAAUGAACGCCUCUUGCCCUUCCUAGAUUUACCUUGUGAUUCUAGUGGAAAUUAAUUUAAAUUGGAUUUUUUUUGAACUGAAACUGUUGAGCAUUGCUCCCCAGCAUAUUACUACCCGCAAAGAAAGUACUCCCUCCAUCUCAAAUUGUAAGUCGUUUGACUUUUUUUACCCAAAGUUUGACCACUCGUCUUAUUCAAAAAAAUUGUGCAAAUAUAGUCAAAUUUAAGUCAUUCUUGAAGAACUUUUAUUAAUAAAUCAAUACAUAACAAAAAAAAAGUGAUAUUUUGUACAAAACUUUGAAUAAAAUGAGUGGUCAAACUUGAUAUUAAAAAAGUCAAACGACUUACAAUUUGGGAUGGAUUGAGUACAAGACAACUUAGCAAAGUGUUAACCAAGGGUAGAGAUUACUUACAAAGCCACUAGGGAGGAAAAAGAAGGGGAAACUGACUUUACAAAUUUGCAACCAAUUCAUAACUAAGGGGUGAAGAGAGGGGUGGAAGCAACACAACUGAAGUUUAACUUCUUGUGUGAAAAGAGCCUUCCAAGCAACUAAGGAAAAAGAUGUAGGCAUUAUGCUCCUUCCAAAUGCACCAAACGGCUGUCAUGAGGACCUCCAUGAAGAAGGAAAUCUCAUGUUUAAUACAGCAUCUAUCGUAACAUCCUUUAAAUCAUGCAUCAUGCUAAGAGCUUUGGUAUAUUCAAUUUUCUGUUGACAAGUGUUGCAAACCCUGCCACAGGACUUCUUCCGCACUCUUACAUGGUGGAUAGUGCCGUGCUUUGUUGUGAAGGUCACCCGGGAAUUCUUCCGCUUCUCCCACAUCUUGCAGGAAUCAAUUUGGAGAGCCUGCGUUGUAUUUUUCGCUUCCAUCAUGUCAUGGAUGUACUUGACGACGAUCAUAUUGUCGUCCUGCAUGCUCUUCAACUUGGUCUGCAAUCUGCAAGUUAUCCACUUUGAUGACUAUGGCAAGCUUCUGGAGCAAGACGCGGAUCCUAUGGUCUAUUUGAAAGAGCACCUGCAGCUCCGCCACAAUCUCUCCAAAAUCAGUCACAGGUUCCGCAUGUUCCUCUUGCUGCUCUUCCUUUCUGUUACAGCAAGCCAGUUUGCCAUUCUUUUCAAGACGACAGCUUACAGCGGGCCAAUCAAUUUCACCAAUGGAGGUGACAUUGCUGUGAGUACCUCAUGCUUUUACAUUUUUCUUUUCCUUCGGCAUAAUGUAGUGCGACAAUCGAGUCACGAGCACAUUUCCUCUUAUACUGCAGGUGUCUUCAGUCGUUCAAGUUGUCGGUCUCGUCCUCUGUUUGCAUGCUGCUGCUAAGAUCUCCCACAGAGCUCAAAACAUCGCUUCAUUGGCUAGUCGAUGGCAUGCGUUAGCAACAUGCUCUACUGAUUCUACUUAUGUGAACACCCCAAACAGUUCUGGGAACCUUGUGCCCUUUCCUGCGCAUCUGUUUCUGAGAGAUUUAUCGGAAAGUGAUCUGGAGUCCCUGGACAGUGCGUCGCUUCAUGGCAGUUCUCAUGGCACUGCUCAGUUGGCUUCCUACAUGUCUUCAUACCACAAGAGGGAAUCACUUGGUAUGUAAUACAAAGCUUCCUUUGAUUCUCCAGCGCUUAAUCUCCAACCAUCCAAUGUGAUACUUCAAAGAGCAUGCUCCACAAUAUCCAUAUCAUUUCAGUGCUUAUGCUCUGCUUCUCGUCUGCAUGAUUUUCAGUGCUGUACCUGCUGGCCAACCCAGGCGGCAUCACGAUAUUUGGCUGGAUCGUCGACCGAGCAUUCCUAAACACCAUCCUGAUGCUCGAGUUAACUCUUGUGCUCUUCGUGCUUAGCAAGACGGUCGUGAUCCCAGCCAAGACACUGGUACACAGCUACAUCGGGUUCCCGUGAUUACUACACCGUUGCGAAUCUGCGUUGUACAGAUUGAAGCAUUCAGGUUCAAGUUCAGUUAGGAGAUGGGAUUUGAUGACAGGUUACCGAGGUUUGCACGUCAGAGUGAGAGAAACCAGUAAGAAUGGUGGCAGAUUUGGUCUUGCUCCAGAAAGCGCAAAUCAUAUGCGCUCCCAAUCCAGGCAUUCUAGACUUUCAAAAAAAAAUCCAGGCAUUCAGCGUGCUGCAGGCUGAAUGAAGGCUGGAUGAAGGUUAGGGUCGUGACGUGUACAGUUUUGGGCGGGUAAGUGAUCCGGGGGCUUCCAUUCUUUUUGCCGUGUAUAUUAUAAUAUAAUACGCAAUGUAUACGUACUAAUAUACUAUAAACCAAUAUGAUAUAAGAAGUAUAUUUUCUACCAUUUUUUUAAGCCAUGGAACGGUCAUUUAAAUGUAUAUAUACAACCCUGACGAAAUGUGCCAUGCGAUCAUUUGUCCCUCUUUAGGAUACCCUUUCUCUGUGCAUUCACUAAACGAAUGAUUGACGAGAUCACGAGAUGAAUUGUUGAAAGUAGGGGUACCAUAUUAUUUAGUUGAAAUAAGGUGCUCUGCUGCUGUUCAAGAUCAUCCACGACAGAUUUCUUUAUUCCACGCACUGUAUUGUUGAACAGAGUCCUAAAUUUAGCCUGACUUCUUAUUAAUAAGAGUUCCGUAAAUCUGUCUGAACAAGCUAAUGUAAAAGAAUAACCAAUAUUUUUCCUCUAAACUGUCCAAGGUUGUGGCUACAAUCAAGCACCUCGAACAGGAACCAAGCUGUUGGCUAUACACAACAUGCGACGCAGAACACAGAACAAACAACUGGUACAAACAGAGCUACAAAUCUAGUCAGGGUGGCCCGAUAAUGGUUGGAACGGACCAAAAAAGAAUCAAAAUUGGCUAUAUUCUAUCGAAAAGAAACCUAAAUGAGCUCCUAACAGAGGAUGGGUUGUGAGGAAAAUUUCAGUACAUUCCUUUGAAAACUGGGCUUGUUCUGCAGAUGCUGGCUCCAUGUUCCUCGUAUUCCUCCUUUGUGUGGCAAAACUGCAUGAGAAAAAGGGAAAUCACUUAGAUUUCAUUCACAUAAAAUGAAUUCAUGAGGAAUAAUUGUUUUAUUUUUUUCAGGUCACGAGAAAUAAUUAUUUUUUUAGGGUCACGAGGAAUAAUUGUAUUCAUAACUCAGUUAUAACACUGCUAUAAAGCAUUGCAAUUCACCACAUUUUACUGGCAUUAUAAGUUUAAGAUAAGAUAAGAUAGCAGAAAUACAGUGAUUACUGAAGAUUGCCAAUUUAUUGAGGCCCCUAGAAUGUCAAGUGGCAGGUACCUCAAAGAAUUCAGGGUUAGACGCAGCUACUGACCCCCCGAACCAAACUGCAUAACUCUGUAUUGGAUGGGCAACCACGUUGACUUCAAUAGGCUGACAACAGGGGGAAAAAGUCAAAUUAAAUGACAGUACCAAGUACAUAAAAUUACUAACAUGUACAAUAUUGACAACAAGAGUACAUUAAAUGGGGAUCGAGAAUCAAUCAGCUGUACUUACUCUCACUUCCACACGAUGACGGGCAUUAGUCGCGGCAACACGCUCAUCCACUAUCUUCUUUAUAUCAUUUUGGAGUCUCUUGUGGAAGUCUUUAAACAUAGUAGAUCCACCAGAUAAUACUAUAUUCUGCAAAAAAAUAGAAUUCUGAUAAAUGCCACAGCAUUCGCAUAUAUCACUUCCCAUCUUACAUAUCCAUGCAGGGUUUGAAGAAAGCACCUUGUACAGAGCUCUCCUUGUGUCAAUUGGUGCAGACUGAACACAGUUAUCAAUCAACUCGGGUAAAGGAGUGGAGAAAUCGGCAGAGUAAAUCUCAGGAUUGAAGAAGAUCUGCAUUUGUUAGUAGAUGGUUAGAGAUGCACACCUAAUUCUGACUUUUUAGAAAAAUCAUAACCAACUGUAUAAAGUUAAAAGUUUAUUCUAACAAAAAGGUUAAAUACCAACAAAAUUAAGCUCAAGGCAAAACAAACUUAUAAUUUCUAGCACCUAAUAACCUUUUCAAGAUAUAUUUGAUAACACCCAUUUUUUAGUGCCAAUUUCAUACCCAUGAUGUACGGGCUGAACUACUACAAAAGCUUAUCGAUAUCACUUGACAGUGUAAAAAUGAAGCACACGGUAGUAUUCGAUUGGAAGUAGAGACCAAUGUUUAUAUAGUAACUACAAGAAGGUAAUGAACCAAGAUAGUGCCAAACAAAGGUUAAGACAGUUCCAGAGAAUAAUAGCAAUUGGCAAGUACUCGCUAGGGCAACUAUCUUGUCCAGAAGAAAAGAAAUACCAAAGUUUCAAAAUUUACAAUCUAUUUCAUUUUGCGGAUGAACCAAGGAAACCAUGAUCUCAGUUCCUAAAUAGUAGCAAAUCUAUAUGCCAAAAGAUGCUUCUAUAAGUAUGCAAGACUGUCAUUGGCAACUCUACAUCUACAAAUCCAUUCAUUGAUGUGACCUCAUUCUUCAAGUUGGUCAUAAAUGUUACAUUAUAAUAUGAAGCUUUAGUUCAGUAUGACAAUGUAAAUGAGUACAACUCGUAGAAACUCAUGAACAAAUAGUGCUGCAAUCAUGUGAACCGCAGAUUGGCAAUCCUUGACCCUUGUUCCCAUGAACUCCAUUGAUAUUGCCACAGGACAAGAAUAAGUACAGUGUGAAAUGGCCAUCCAGUGAAGUCUGUACAUUCACAUUGUUAACCAGUUCCUUUACUACGCAAUUAACAGAAACAAAUGCUCACAAGAAACCGGGAUGUCUUGUAUGAAGUUUAUCUCUUAAUUUACAGCAACAACAAGCUAAAUUUCUGUCUUACUCAGAGUAAUGUAAGAUCAAAAGCUAUAAUAAAUUCAUCACUGCAACACAGUGUAAUUGACACUCAAAAGAUGAUCGUUGGCCAUAAUAUUAUACCAUUUUGGAUCAAUAGUUUGGGAACAAAAAAACUAUUGCAGUUUUGAUGACAGACUAUUGCAGUUUUGAUGACAGAAAUAGGAAUAAACCUCUGGCCCAAGAAAGCGUUCAUAUCCGAUGUCAAUUGUAUAUGGGACCCCAGUCUUUGGUUUAACAGCUGUCCAAUGUUUGAUGUACUUAUCAGGCUUCUUGUCAUGUUUCUUGAACUCCUGAAAUUGUAAUGGAGAUGCAUAAGAAUCUAAAUCUUUUUGUUUGUUUAACAUAGAUGCCUACUGUAUGGCCUCUUGCUAGAAGUACUACUUAUAUCAAACUUGCCACAUAUAUAUUUAUAAAAGAAAACAGUGCAUAAAAUUAGUCUACAUGUUGAGAAGCUGAAGACCAAAAGGUAUCUACAGUCAUUGUUAAGCAACAGAAGCAAACAUAAAAUAACAUUAAACAGAUUCUACAACCAGGUCAAAAGUAGUGUUUACACAGGGAACAAGUUUUACUAGCACGCUUAACUUCAUUAGGGGACUUCAACUCCCAUUAAACAAUUUUGCUAGUUCUGAAGAGUUGAAGACCAAUGGAAAAUAAAAUGUCAAUACCUUGACAAUGUCUGAACAAGUAUAGCAAUACAUUUCUUUCACUUUACGAGAUAUAUCUAAAGAAUCCUCAGGUGGCAAAAGCUCACCUCUUUCCUGCAAAACCACCAGAUGACACUAGUCAAUAACAGCAUUUAUAAUGUAAUACACCAUCAGCAGGACAGCAUCCAUGCGCCCGAGAAAAUUCAUCCAGCUUUUACAGGGGACCACAAGAGAAUGCCUCAAAAGUAGAAGUAAAUAUUGAGAGCAUAAAGGACUAAUACCGAUCAGUACAACUCUAAUUGCGAAUAUGGUUUAUGUUCACAGUGGCUCUGCAGUAAGAUGCAAUUUCUCACCAGGUGACUAAUCAUGGUAAUAUGAGAAUUCCCCAUUUUCAAGUAAAUAUUUUUCCCAAUCACACAAUAAUAGUCAAGGAUAGGAUGGCAUUCAAAUACUAUAUACUCCUUCCAUUCCAAAUUAUAUGUUGUUUUGUUUUUUCUAAGUACAUAGCUUUUGCUAUUAUCAAGACAUAGUGUUCUAUGUGCAUAGCAAAGACUAUAUAUUUGGAAAAGCCAAAAUGACUUAUGAUUUAGAACAGAGGGAAUAGGAAUUAAUGAAUAACGUACCAUUCAAUUUAUUCUAGAAGAAUGGCCAAAAUAACAAGUAUCCCGGUUUUAUGUGUUACUGAUUGAAUUUCUAGUGAUAAUGUAUGAUCUGCACGCUAACACUUUGGAGGGUCAAAACUUGAUUUCUUGAGACAAUGCUGGCUAACAUUUUUAAGGUAUUGUCAUUAACAAUCUGAAUGGAUCUAACAUAACUCAGUACGAGCUAUGCUAAUUUAUCCACACAUCAUCUAUGCACAUAAAACAAGAUAAACACUAGCAUUAAGAAUAACAAGCAAUCCGGCAAAAAAUAUCUAGGGUCGACCCAAUCUACGUUUCACUUGCGGACUUGCCACAUGAGCAGAUCCAGGAUAGAGAAUCAUAGAUGUCAGUAGUAAGCAUUGGUCUUGUUUUUUUGGAUCGACAACAUUUUAGCCUGGGAUAUCAAAAUAUCCAUUGCUGCCCAUUCACAGCAGUAAAAUAGCCUGGUUUUGCCCUUGUUUCCAUGCAGCAGGCAGCAUUCCCACCGACAUUGACCAGUCUGCAGUCUUAUCUAAUAAUCAAUCUUAUUGAUCAAUCCAGAUCAAUAUUCUUGCUUUUACAAUACUUGAUGUUGGCAUCCAUAAAAUUCAAUAAUUACAUUUUUCCUAUGCAAAGCAACCCUAUUUAAACAAUAUGUAUAUAUGUCUGCUUGGUAAAAAAAAGAAACUGAACACCAAGUUUAUUAUAACGCUAAAAUAAACUUUGAUUUAAGAGCACAGAACCAGAGAUCGAUACAGCCCUAUUUAUGAGCAAUACGAGUAAUUUUGCAUCUGAAAGUAAUCACAACAAAAAAUGGAGAGCAUGAUGUACCUGUAAAAGCUGCGAAACAAACUGGGUUACAUCACUUCCAGAAAAAGGAAAAGACUUUAUGCUACUCCCAAUUACAUAGCCAUUUACAACUGGCACGAUUUGUGGAGCUCCGUCCCCAAUAUCAACUACUACUCCUGUCAUAUCAGACUGACAAAGUAUAUUGGCCAAAGUUAAUGAGAAGCAAUGUGCUCUACCAAAGAAUUUAUAGGCAUUAAAUGAAAAAGGGUCAAGAGACUGGAACAAUAAACAGUGAUUUGCUAUACAAAUGACUGCCCUCAAUCAUGAGUUCUAGAAUUUGACAAGCAACAGAUUAUAUAUUAAUUAUGAUGCUGACCUUUUUAAUACACAUCAUGAUUCAAAGAGACAUAUAUAAGUAAAGGGGUGGCUGAUCUUUGUGAGGGCAUGCAAUCACAAUAAUAACUUUACAUUUCCAUUUUUUUUAAAAAAAAGAAUUCAAUAAAAGCAAUGAAUGCCAAUCAAGAAGAUGUGGUUUAUGCAGUAACAAAUACUUGGUAAACAAGCACGAAAGGAGGUAUUCUCAGAACCUACCACGGUAUCUGAAUCGUCAUCAGAAAUACUUUUCAGAUAGGCAUAUCCAGCAGAAAGGCUGAGGACAGAUUGAACAGAAAUAUAUAGUCCAGGGACAUUGAAGGUCUCGAACAUUAUUUCUCCUGUACAUUCACGACUUUCAGGUGUACUGACAGGACUAUCCGUAAGAAGGAAAUAGUGCUCUUCAGGAUUACAACGUAGAUAAUUGAAAAUGCAUUGCUGCCAAAAUCUCUCCAUUGUGUCCCAGUCAUGAACCUGCAAAACAGGAAAGAGGAUAAGGCAUACGGAGGUAGAACACAAACAAAGGACAGGAUCAGUAAAAGGAAAUGUAUAUACAUACCUGACCAUGACGGAUUGGACUUCUUAGUGUGUACAGCCCACUAGACCUAAACCGCGAUAGAGCCUCAUCACCAAUAAAAAAGUCAAGAUCAGCCAUGAUGCCUGCAUUAUACUGUGCUAUCCAGUUUGCACUACUCAACAGCUCUGUCUGGUCUAGAAAAGAUUCGUUCGCAGCUACGACAGUAGGGAGGGUGAAAGACGGCUCCGAGUUCCCAGAAAAUCCAAGUUUGCUAUACCUAAAAAAAUAAGAGUAUAAAAAUCUUGUAAGAAUAAAAAAUGGUGAUAGUCAAGUCAUAAACUCAUAGUAGAAAAAAGGGUGCAAGUGGUACUGAGACAAAGAAAAGAAGAAGAAGCAGAAGUGACAUAAUUUAGCAAAUAGUUUAACAAUUGCAUAGAAAUUGAAGCAACCCAGAAUCAAUUAGAACUGUUUAUAUCCUGGGAAAGUUCAUUUUGUGAGCGUUAUUACUUUAGGAUCUGUUCUCGUGACUUUGUUAGUUGCUCAUAAAAAGAUAUGGAAUCUUAAUGUGACAACGAUGCAAUGCCUUACAACCUAAACUUGCUGCAAGCUGAGAGUACAAGAGGAAAAGUCAUCGUGGAAUCUGCCUUGAGUUGAGGAUAGUGGAUACCAUAUGUACCAUAAAGUACAGCACAAGCAGGACAGAGGCAAUAUUUCACAUUCUACUUCAAGAGAAACUGAGGAGCAGUAUCAAAUAAAGGCUACCACUCUAAAACAGUUUCCUCCCCAACUCUUCCCCCCUUACCCUGCACAGAUUUAUCCUGACUGCACAACAGACAGCACAACCAGAUGGAGUCCGUUGUCCUCACCAAACCGGUGCCUCCAAAGUGUACACCGAGAAUGUGAGCCCACGACAAACCAAACCACAACGGGCCCCAUCAAUACCUGGUAUCCUGACACCCAUCCCCUCUGGCACGGGCACAACCCAUUUCAGGGGGGCGAGCCGCGGGAUCAUGGCUGAAAGCUCGGCGAGAACCAGCCGACCACACGGGGGAAUCGCGCGCUGAUAGAGCAGUAUACUGGCACCAGCGACUUGGAGGGAGGUCGUCAGGUCGGGUCGGAGACAGGACAGCGAGCUGGUGAGGAAGAGAGAGAGAGAGAGAGAGGGUGGAGGGAUCGGUCGGGUCGGGAGUUACCCUGUGCCGUUGUCGAUGACGAUGGCCGGGCGCGCGGUGGCGUCCAUGGCUGACAGCUCCGGCGAGUCCCCGCCGGCUCAUGCCUCCGCCGCCGCCGGAGUGACCGGGAGGCGGGGCAUCGGGGUCCGCCGCGAUGGAGGCCUCGCUCGCUCCCCCCCGGGGGCCGCCUGAUCGAGCCGAGGUGGGCGGGCGUUGGCCGGCGGCGGGCGGGGCUAGGGUCGGGCCGAUCGAUUUCAGGGGAUCGGAUGGCGCGCGGGCUCGAGAGAUUCGAGGAGGCGGGCGGUGCGCGGCGCGUGGCGUGGCGUGGCGAUGGGGACGAGACCUCACGAGUUGGUUUGGUUUGGUUGACGAGGGAAGCGGGAAGGCAGGCAGGCGAAGUCGUCGAAGAAAGUGGGUGGCUUGUGGAGUUGUGACUUGUGAUUGUGCGUGCCUGCGCGCCGCGUUGGUGGGUGGGUGGCCUCUGGGCUCUGUCCGUGUCUGUGAAGUGCGUUAGGGUGGGGUGGGGUGGGGUGGGGUGGGGCCGCACUCACUCGCUCCUAUCCCAGGCCCACCUGGCAGCAGCGGACUUCUGGCCAUGUGUCCCUUCUCUGUAAGGCCCCACUUUGGCCGGUCAUUUCCCCGUGGAGGGAGCCCACGAGGAUGGUUUCCACGCGCCGCUACUCGGACUGGUUUGGAAGCACGCGACACAGGGCUCUCCGCCGCGAAGGAGCAGGGUUUUGACGGGGAAACCUGUCCGACCUCGUCACGUCGGGCGGCAUUCCCCGCCGACUCGACUCACCUCGACGACUCCUCCGUCGCCGCCCCUCCGCACUCGCCUCGACUCUCCGCCGUGGCCCCUCCGCCUUCGCCUUGACUCUCAUCUUGCCAUCCCCGUCACCUCCCAGCCACCAUCCCCCUUCUGAACCAUCGUCGUCCUCGCCUCCACAUCGGCUUCGUCCCCACACACUGGAGAGAUGUGACCACUGCAGCUACUGAGAGGACGGCUCCAAGAUCCACUUCAGUUCUUCUCAGAUUUGUCUUCCCUCUGAACAAAGUAAGAUGGUCUCGAUUUGGUAUGCACCCGCUUGAUUCGUCCCCCUUCUCUAUGUUUUGUUGUAUAGUGUCGAAUUCAAGUGAGCAUCUGCCUAGAUUGUUUUCAUCAUCUGUGACGUGCUUGUUUCAUGGUUGAUCCACUUUGCUUGCCCCAACCCGAUUGACUAGGGUUUACUAAAUUGUUGAUUCACAGGUGCCCAAAUAUAGCCGAUCUAGGGUUUCAGUAGAUUAUUGGUUCUUAGGUUUACUGGUUCUAGUAGUGUGUUCUUGAAUUUCUUGUUUCUAGCACUAGCUGGUUUUGGUAGAUCCAGUUUACUGGUUCGUGAAUGCACUUGUUGAUACAAAUUGGGAGCAUGAACUGGUUUUGGUAGAUCCAGUUUGACUCCCACAGUUGAUAUGAAUUGGUGAGAUUCUUACUGAUACACUAGAUUUUGAUAAAAGGAUACAUUUUAAUUGCUAUAUGCUUUGCUUCGGCCGUUUGGAGCAACUUCAUCUCCCAUGUUCUAUAAUCCAUCCUAGCAUGCUAGAAGUUUUUCUGCACAAUUGCACACGGAAGCAUUAGCCAUAGGUUGAUAGUUUUCUGACAGGUCAAGUCUGCUGUGUCAGGUUCCAUUUUUUUUUUUUUUGCAGCAACUAGUAGGACUAGAACCAUGGUAUUCCUUUAUUUUUGAAGCAACUACUGCUAUCUUAGCUAAUAUUACGAUCAUACGGAUUUGUGUUUUCAUUUCAAGGUGAUCAACCUUUUGUUUCGAAUAAAGAGUUGUAGUUCAGUGUUCGACCUUUAGAAAAUUCAGUUCACUGAGCUGUUGUUUUUUCUUCAGAAAUGAUUAAGCUUCUUUCCUCUAAACUGUACUGCUUGCUGCCAUCUUGCAAUUAGCUGCAUGGGUUGUAGGUCCUUUUCUUCUUCAUGUUUGCAAACAGAACCGAUCUUGCUAUUAAGCUUGUCACAUUUGCAGUUUAGUUACAAUUCUUGCUGAGAAUAUAGAUUCUGAAAUGACCUACAUGACCUGGGCACUUUAGAUUCUGAAAUGGCUGCAUCCAAGGCAUAAGUAUGGUUAAGACAGUUUGUUUUUUUUUCCACAUUAUAUGGGGCUGUUUGUAAUCUGCCUUAACCAUUGUUACUCUUGAAACUUGUAAGUAGGUCAAUCUGCUAUUUAGAGUUCACGCCAGAUCUUUUAUCCUGUUCUUUCAGUCUCUUAGUAAUGGUAACUCUGGUAGUCCUUGUUAUGUUGCUAUGUUUCUUUCUUGUGCUAUCAUACAGCUGAUCUCAGUGUAGAAUAGUGAUUAGUCUCAUACGGUUGUCCUUUGCUCAGUAUUCAGGUAGUAGUAAUUUUUUCCCUUUUUCUUUUUAAGUUUUCAUUCAGUUUUUCACAAUAGUGUUUCAGGUUUUUAUAACUUGGUGGCCAUCAGGGUUGCUAGUAAAGCACCAUCUAACUUAUGUUUGUGCGGUGCUAGUUGUGUAUUUCAUUUAUCUUAGUCUGAAUUGAUAGAUAGUCUUGGACAUCAUGAGAACAGUCUUCUCCUACUUAUGUUAUAUGAAUUUGAUUUCUUGAGUUUAGGGGGGGGGGGGGGGGGGGGUUGAUUGUGCACUACUCGUAUCGGAGUGAUUCAUCUAGCUAGCUUUACCAAUGGACAACCAUGUUCUAAGUGCAAGGAACCGUAGAUGGAAACAUGUUUAUUUCAUUUAUACAAUACAAGUAUCUAACGUGUUUCCCUGGUGUUACUUGUAGAGCUCUUGGUGGAAGCAAUACAUGAUUUGAGGAGCCCUUGAGCUAUAUAAUCUCUCUACUUGGGUACUGAACAUGCGGUGGCAAUGCCUAUGUCAUAUGUGACAAGCUUCUGGAAAGGGUUUUAAGUCAUAGAUUUAUUUUUAUUUUUUUUUUGCAAAACUUAAAGUCAUAGUUUUUUAGUGUUCAAGUUUUUAGUGAAGAGACUCAUUCCAUUUUUUUAUAUAUAUCUGUCAACAAUUUGUGGAUGGAGAUGAAUUCGUGAUGCAUGUGUUAGCUUGUUUUGAUUUGGAUAUUAUUAGGUUCCUGAAUCAAACUUUGCACAUGAAUGUGCAUCUUGGGGAUUUUUUUCGAAACAACUGUAGGCACAGGGCAAAGAUUCGCAGGCACAGGGCAAAGGCCGAGCUGGUUGAACUGACUAGCCUGGUCGACGUACGUGUAUGUCCUUACCUGCCAGAAACUUUGUUCGUGCUAGAGCUCCACUGCACGCAUCUUAUCAUCCAUGGGAAAAAUGUUUCCAAACAGCAGCAGAGAAAUAACUCUGUCCGUGAAAUCUCCCCCUCGGGUGGGCAGGGGAUUAGCAUGUCUAAAAAAAAUCCCUCCCCCUCUUUCUUCCCUGGGUUUGUUACCCUGAGUUGCCAAAGUAGGCCUGAGCGUUAAUGGGCCUCCGGGUGAGGAGGGAAGUAGAAAACAUGCUGGAGCCUGGAGGAUAGGUAUAUAUACGUUUUGAUUUUAUUAUUUCUCUUUUUUCCAUCCAAGAGUUAAAAUAUAUACCACCGGCACUAAAUUUUGUAGAUGUAUGUAUAUCAUUUAUUAGGUUCACGAACUUUAGAAAAUGUGUUCCUGAGUCACGGGCAAGUCUUAUAUAGGCGUCCCAGACCGGACAUCCGGUGGCCAUUAUCAGAGCUCCGGAAAAUAGAUGUGCAGAAUUAAGCGUGGCAUAUUUCAAAACCGGUAAAAUCGCGAACCUAAGAACAAAACAAACCCUGAGCUUUACUACACCUGUAAAACAGAUAGUACCCUUUAUGAUGAUGCCAUUGCCAUGAUACAAAUUUACCAUCCAUCACUAGUAAAUAAAUAAAAGCAGCAGGGCAUCCGCUAUCUUAUCGUCAGCGUUGUCAGCGAUUAGAAUGUAUCCCUUCUGAAUCUUCUUCACCAGAUGCGUUCCUUCCAAGUCGGCUUACAAAUACAGGCUCGUUCAGUUUUCUGGUGCUAAUUGUCGUCCUCGUCCAUGGAUUCUUCCUCCUCGGGAUGUAUAUACUGUUUCAUGUAUUCUUCCUCGAUCGUCUCCUUCAGCAAAGUUAACCUCUGGAUGAUCACCGGGUCGCUCAUCUUUCUCGCAUCCAUAAAAUCCGUCUCCUCCUUGUUGAGAUGGUAUGAAUCGAGCAGCAUUUUGAUCCAUUUGUGGAGUUCGUUGGGAGUUCUGCAUGCAAAGACCCGAUUAUGCCAAUGCAUAGAAAGCAUCUUUACUAUCUUAUCACAACCUUACCUCAAAUAAUAUAUAUACAAAAAAAAAGAUCUGCUCAAAAAUAAAAUGGCACCCAUUUUAUUGGGCACCCAACUGACUUGCUUUCUAACAAGAAAAAUGGAGUCUAUUCUGGCCUUCAAAUUUCAGCCUCCGUUUGAAGUACGAACAUUUGUUCCACAAUGAAAAUCCAAUGCAUAAACAUAAAAAGAAAAUGUUCCCAUAACCAUUUAGCAUGCAUAGUUUACAUGGACACACAAGAAACUGAAAAUAAUAGUUAAGCACCAAGGCAGUCCCAAACAUUAACUAGUUGAGCUAAACAAACUUAGAUAAGGGCAGCAACAAUUGUGAAUUAUUAUUAUUUUCUUAGGUAAAAUAUUAUAAUUUCCUCAUUAAAAAUUACUUUCUGGGUUCCCAGGAUAUUACUCUGAUGACAAACCUUUUUUUGGUAACACAUAAGGAACUUGAUAAGUUAUAAUGUUAGCAAAGCAUUUAGAUAACAGAAUACAGAUCCAUGCAGCCAAUUUUAUAUUAUACAUGCUCAUUAAGAAUUGACUAUCUCAUGAGAGUUCCUUUUGAACAGAUGACAUAAUGAUUGGAGAAGCCAGCUUAACACUUGAUAACAUUAACUGACAGUUAAGUGGAGCAUGUGACCAGAAAAAAACAUAAUUUUGAGGAUAAUAAACUAAUCAAAUUCCCCAUGGAUCAAUCCAAUCAACUCAAAUAGUAGCAAAGGAAAGGAAUUAGUCUACAUAACCUUGUGCUGUUUGUCUACUUAACCCCCUUAACUAUGAGCCAGGUCGAGCAUCCCAAAAUAUUUGAACCAUCAAAAUAACCAGUAGGUGGUUUUGCUCAUGUGGCACAUCACAUUGACACUGAUGUGCAUGUGCUAGUGACUUAGUGAAUGAGAUGUUGAUCGUCCUCAUCAGACAGAGAGAUGUUGUCAUUGUCUUGGCUGCACAGAAAGGGGGCUGUGGUUUGGUGAAGCUUUGACAUUUCUCAGUCUACGUUGACAUGGUGUCAUUAGUGAUAGGGAGAGGUGAAGGGACUAGAGGGAUGGAGAGAGUAAGACACUGAAGUGUGGGUCUAGAGUGAUGUGGCAUGUGGUGUAAGUACAUUUUUUCUAUGCCAGCAUGCCACAUCAGUAAAACCGCCCUCCAAAAGGAAGUUAUUAUGAUGGUUUUUGAAAAAGUUAGAGGGACUCAAUACCUGGUUUUAUAGUUUGGACGUCUAAGUUGUGAAACAUCAAUACUUGAGGGGAUUAUGUAGACUUAUUCCUAAAGGAAAAUGAGGGAACAAGAACAGCUACAUGUCCCCAACAAAACUGAUAUGCCACAUCAUGAAGACUUUUGCAAUAAUGAAAUCAAUAGAGACAACAAACAAAUAUCUUUGUCGAAAAACUCUUACGUGUAAAGAGCAUCUUCAUCCUUGGUUUCACACUCAUCCCCGGGAGAGAAAGCAGUUGCAAGAGCACCAAAUCUCUCUUCAGGGUCUUCAAUAUUCAGCAGAUACUUCAGAAGCUUCAUCUCCGGAGGUGAGAUGUUCUUGAGGCUUUCUUUUGUAGUUGUAUAAAUAUGAUACAUUAUGUCCUUGACCUAUGCCAUGGAUAUGAAUCAGAAAAUACUAUCUACAAGGUUUAAUCACUAAUUUUAUAAUAGUGUCAUUUACCAAUUCAAAAUCUUAACCAAUGUUACUUACUUUAUCAUACAAUUAGUAAGUGCCAAAAAGGUUUGUCGUUUUAUAUAACAUGUUGGUGAUUCAGAUUUCAAAUAUGAUUUUGAAAUAGAAUCCACUUAGGUCUUGUUUGGCAGAAAUCUAGCUCCAAGAAUUCUUAGAGCUGAAUACUCCUAGCUUCAGAAAUCUGUGGAGUUGGAGUUGGGUUUUCCUAGCUCCAGACUCCACGAAUGUGGGUAAAGUUUUCUUUGCCCUUGAGGGCAUGUGCUCUCACUCUCCUACUCAUUGGAUUCGCUUUGAGAAGUGUGCAAACACACAUCUCAAUGCGAAUCUGCUUUGAGAUGUGUGUUUGCACACUUCUCAAUGCGAAUCCAAUGGGUGGGAGAGUGAGGGCAUAUGCCCUUAAGGGCAAAAAAACCGCGUUGAUGGGUACAGGAUACACCUGAAUUGUUUGAUUAAACUGCUUUCUACUCUAGACAAAAAAAAUUGUCUCAAAGUUCUUGAUUGUAGAAUACACAGACUAAACAGAUCUGAGCUCAAACCUGGAGCUGUGCCAAACAACUCAUUUGGUAUCACGUAAGCUAUGAUUACAUUUCAGCACUUGUAAAAGGCAAAGGCACAUUAUUACUAUAUUACAAUGAUGCAUGGAAAAACAUUGUAGAAGUACCAGAAAAACAAUACUGGUACUGAAGACAACAAUUUUUAUUUAGUUAAAAAGAUGUGGAAGAUUAGUAGACUCAUCUAGAUUAACUGUACCAUGAUAUUUGCUACACUUAGUCAUGUGUACAUUUUUACAAAGGCUAAAUGAAUCCUAAUAAGUAUUAUGACGAAUUAUAUGUUGUCAACUUUCAUAACAGACUUUUUUUUAAUGAAAAAAAACUUUCAUAACACACAAUAGAAAUCAUUAAACAUUUGCCUAUUCAAGGUUUACAUAAAACUAAAAGUUCAAAAAUAAUAUGUCAAAGAGAAUAUAAAGGAAACUGAAUCUUUGUGCAAAUUUACCGAACAAUGAAGCUGUGUGAUAUUACAUCCACUCUCAGGAGACCAAAAUGCUAUGUUGCAUUUAUUAUACAUAUAUACCAAAUUUUCAUCACUUCAUGCCUCACUUCUGCUGAAGCACAGAUUGACAAGAUGGCUAUAUUUCUAGCCUCGAUGGUCUAUAUUGUUUGAUAGUACCACAGUGGGCCAAUCAGCACAAUAUCUUAAUGGGUUGAGUGUACCACUGUACCAACAGCCCAGGUGGCCAAAAAUGUAGCAAUAAAUCAUGCUUAAACACAGGAAAACUUAUACAAUUUUGUUUAUAUUUCAUUAAGACUAACCUUAUCAUUCAUAGUUGUAGAUUCUUUUGCAGCAGCCCAAGCUCUGUUAAUGAGAAGAAUUAGAGAUGAAUCAAGUUCUUUAGCCUUGGCUAAGCUUUUUAUCUCGUCACAAGCACCAUCUAGUGAAGAGGAAUUCAGUAUAUCAUCAAACUUCAACUGAGCAGAUUCGAUGUCUAACUGUUCUAGUGUGCAGUCAUAUGCAUGAAUUGCAGAUAGGCAUUUGGCCCCGAGCCUGACUACUCCUGCAUAAUAUUAAGAACUAAUCAGCCCAUAAUAUAAAGUACACCAUUCAGAACAAUAACUACAAGUAAAGUAGAUACAUUUGCCUGCCAAUUCACACGACAAGAAUUUGGUACUAACCAGUAACCACAUGCUCAUUAGAAUAUGUUGACCUUGUCAACCAACCCAGAGCAACAAACAAGACUAAAAAUAAAGACAAUCUAGUGAUAACUUCUAUGUUCUGCUUGCAACGCUUUUUUUUUCUUCUGCAAUUUUGGUUAACCAAGAAUCAUGAUCCAUGUGCUCAGGAAACAAAGAAUCAAAUUCUCAAAUUUGAUCUGUUUCAAUAACCAUAUUAUGGUGUGAUUAUAUGUUAGCGGUUCACCUUGGUAUGAAUCAAGUAAUAAAGUGUGAUAUGUGAGUAAAAAUUGAUAGAAGGUAGGUAGUUACCGUCUCGCUCGUCAAGGCCAUUAUAAGCAUUCACAAGGAAAUUAAGAUGGCGGAAGAACUCCCCAGUGAAAUCCUUUCGUCGUCUUGCAACAAUAGCAUUAAUAUCAGCAGGGUUCUCACUGAGCUCAGUGAACAGUUCCAUGUGCUUCUCUAUUUCAUCAUCUAUCUGAAUCAAAAACAUGGAGAAUAUCCACAUAGUUAUGAGAGCAUCUAGAUAUUAUUUUGGUUUGAUUAUAUUGCACCUAAUCUGAUAAUAAUAUCAUGUAAUCUUAAUACAUGGAGUUCUUAAGGUUGAUGUGACAAAAAUUAUACUGGGAACUAUGAAAGCUCGCUUAAAAGGGUGAAUGUACGUAAGAGCAUCUCCAAGAGAUUAGACUAUCUCCAACAAUGGUCACCUAAAAAUCUAAAAUACAAGACCCAUUUGUCCUUUGGGUAGCGCUACAGGUAAAAAGUUCCAUAUCUAUUUUUAGUCUUCUCCAACAACAAGACCUAAAAGACAACACUCUCUGCAAAUAGGUCUCGAGGAGAAAGGAUACCCAAAUUUGGGUUAUGCCUCUCCUGAUACCCAAAAUGGGUCUUCUGUAUGGGUACUCUGUUGGAGGCUAUAGGUAUUGUAUUGGAGACCCAUUUUAGGUUUGGGUUCCCAAAUGAGUCUCCUGUUGGAGACAGCCUUAGCCAAAUCAUUUUCUAAAGGUAUAUUUUGUUAUUGUUGAAGGAAAAACGUCUCCAAUAGACUCUGUAAAUGACACUUCAAAUUUAGAAACUCUCCAUCCUACCUUAUUCGCUCUCUACUUUUGGAUAGUCUAUCUCACUAGUCAUCCUUUAUAGACUCUGUUGGAGUACUCUAAUAUCUUUUUGUCAAGUCUAUUUUAGAGAGUAGCUAAAUUAGUAAAUUUGGCUAGUCUUUUUAGCUAAUCUUUUGGAGAUGCUCUAAGGAGAAUAGAUAAUGACUUACCUUCUUAACUUUUCUAGCAAGUACAACCAACUUUUGUUUCACUGAAGGAUCAGUUUCCAUAUCUAUGCGCACUUGGCAACGCUUGUAGAAGUGCUCUCUAUACCUUCGCCACUCCUCUCUAAACACCAAUAAUUUUCUCCAGUCCUUUGUUUCUGGUUUCUUAUACAUGAAGAACUCAAUGAAUUUGUCGCAGAUUUCAGUCAUCGUGUACCCCAUUGCAACUUCAGCCUCAGUUUGGUCUUUCACAUUAGCAAUGGUUGGACUAGCUACACAACCUGUAAUUAAAUGUAGUUCAUGAUGUAGGGCAUAUUUUUCAAAGUUAUUACGCAAUGUUAGCAUGAGUGUUUGGAGCAUACAAACAGAGAGAAAGGGGUAUAUGCACCUAGUAGAUCAAAUGUGUCAUUUGAGAAGUACGCUUCUACUAUUUGCAAAACUGGGGGGAAAUGAUAAUCUAACUCAAUAAAUGUCCCCUUAACAAGCAUAAAUUAGUCAUAAGAAGAAAAUUACCAAUUGAGUCGCAAUAAGAUCAGUCCCUAAACGAUUUUGUCAAUAAAGCAUAUAUAUACUCCGAUUAUUUUGAACUUAGUUCUAGUUUGAAUCACUUAUCCCCAAUUCAAAAUUUCGUAAAAAAGAGACCCGAACCUCCCAUAAGAUUACCUUAGUGGAUUUGUUAAUGAACUUCUUUCCCUAUAUUUACUGCUACCAGAUUUGGGCCCUAGUUCUAAAAUUUGCAAGGAUCAGAUAUUCAGAUUCCAUAUCUUGUAUAAUAAACCGAAGCAGACCCUCAAAUACUUGGAAUUCUCGCUAAAAGAACAUCGCAAUUGGCCUAAGAAUAGUUGCGCCUCUUAGCGAAAUCCCGUCGGUGCUCAGCAUUCAGCAACAUCCAACAUGCCAUUAUGGGAAUUCAUCGAAUACGUGUAAAGGCAACACAAAGUCGCCACAACCUACCUACACGAACUGUCCGAGCUAGGAAAAGAACCCGAGUCUUACAGAAUAGUCACUCCACAGUUCGUCGCCGCAGGUUGCUUCUAUUCUAUGUCCCCGCAAAAGCCAAGCGCAACCGAUUUGAUUCACCGCUGACACUAAGCACCUCGCGACGCGAGCAAGCGAACCAGCACACGACGAAUUGACAGGAGAGAGAAAGAGAAGGAAAAGAAACAGAGAAAGGAGAAAUGGAUUUGUGCCUUACGUGGUGGUGGUGGGGCUGCGGCGGCGAGGCGGAUGCAGCGGGUAGCAUGCGGAAUGGGUACGGAGGCAGAGGAAGACUGCGUGGGGGCGGCGGCCAUUGGCGCAGGCGAGGGGCGGGGAGCGCGGCAGAGAACGCCCGGGGCCGGGUUCGUCGCCAUCGGUGGCAGCACGGCGAGGCGAAGCGAUUGGAGGACUGUGGAUGGAUAAAGAAGCAUAGUGACGGGACGGGAAUAGUAGUAACUAUGACGUGGCUUGACGGGUGAAUACGGAGACGUCGUACCUGGCAGGGAUGGAUCUUAUAUAUAUAUAUAUAUAUAUAUAUAUAUAUAUAUAUAUAAAUAAAAUGUAGUAUGCGUAUUCAACGUCAAUAUAAAUAUCCGUAUUCCACAUCUGUAUUUAUGGUAAUAUAGAUGCUAAGUGAAUAUAUAGCGACUUCUCUUCAUCCGAUUCCACGUCCGCAUUUGAAAUUAUCCAUAUUAACGAAUAACAAAGUGUCCGGUAAAACCAUCUAAAACUUACAUCUAUAACUAAUUAGUAAUUUAUAUAAAUGAUACAAGUUUUAACAAAAAAAGAUAUUUAUCAUUUAAUCUACUCAAACUUACCUAUAUGGCUAAUGAAGUUAAAUUAAUUUUAUUGUUAUUAAUGGCAUAAAAAGAUUAAUUUUAAUUUAUUUUAAUAUGUAUGAUCAUACUAAUUUUAAGUACUUUAGUUAUUCAUAUAGUGAUGAAUUUUUUAUAUAUAUCUAAACUUAUUUAUUGAUAGAUAUUUAUCUAUAGUUUUAUUUAUUUUUAUAUUUUUUUUUCUUCUAUCGUUGUUAUAUUUUAAACUCCUAUGUCGAUAUGAAUAAUAAUUUGGUUCUACUUGAACUAUCGAUAUAAGCAAAUACAUAUGUGUCAUCUCAGAUUUUCAAGGUGUGAAAUGCCUUCUACACCAACCUGACAUUCAAUUUCCCUCCACCUCUGAGUCUUAUGAUCAUUUUUUGUUUCUUUAUCACGUAAAAGGUUUGUAUGUUUUAAUAUUAAAAAAGAUAUUUAAUACAACACGCCUUCGCGGUAGAAGAAUAGUACAUAUGGCGAUGCGAAAUUUUUUUGAUUUCGCUAUUGUAGCACUUUCGUUUGUUUGUGGUAAAUAUUAUCUAAUUAUGGACUAACUAGGAUCAAAAGAUUCGUCUCGCGAUUUACAGGCAAACUCCUUCAUGGCAUCUCCAUGGUCCAUGGAUGACACAUGGUGCAGAGGUUGAGUGAGGAGGGCGACGCCUAGUGGUACUGCUCAAUCAAGGCCUUGUUUACUUCUAAAAAUUUUUGCAAAAUAAGAAUAGUAGCAUUUUCAUUUGUAUUUGACAAAUAUUGUCUAAUUAUGGACUAACUAGGCUCAAAAGAUUCGUCUCGUCAAUUUCGAUCAAACUGUGCAAUUAGUUUUUAUUUUCAUCUAUAUUUAAUACUUCAUGCAUACCUCUAAAGAUUCGAUAUGACGGGAAAUCUGAAAAAUUUUACAAAAUUUUUGGGGAACUAAACAAGGCCCAAAGGGUUUUUUAUUUUCCCCAUAACUCAAAUCCCACAGCUGCUUUUUUAAAAAUCACGACUCAUAACUAUUUUAAAAAAAAAACCACAGCUCAAAUAAAUAGAUAUAUUGUUACUACAUUAGAUACUGAUCAAAUCGAUUUGUUUUUUCUCAAUCACGCAAAAGGUUUGCGCGUAUUUUCAUUAAGAAGGAGAGUUUGAGUACAAGCGAGGCGGUUUACAUAUGCAGGAUCGCUCUUCCUCGCAGCUCAGUCUAGUCUAGUCUAUUCUCUGAACUAGACGCCCGAGGUUCUUGGCUCCUGCAGAGAUCCAGAGCUCGGCCUGUCCUCUGAUCGUGUCCUUAACCGCGCUGAGCUGUGUGUUUGCUCUACGGAAGCAUCUAGCGUUCUGUUCCUUCCAUAACUCCCAGGCGAUCAGGGCGAGAAGGGAAUCUGCUCCUCUGGUAUACUCCGAUGGCCAUAAGCCUCGCCAAACCUCCCACCAUUCGACGAUGGCCCCGGCAGGCUGCUCCUGAAUAUGGCACCCUAGUGCUGCCGCAACGUCAACCCAAAGCUGCCGAGCAAACGGGCACUCGACGAUGAUGUGGUCGAUUGUUUCGCCCUGCUGGUCGCAUAGAUAGCGGGCGCUGCGGGCUUCCAACCCGUGGCGCCGUCGUCGGUCCGCCGUCCAAUGUCGUCGCCUAAUUGCCAGCCAGAGGAAGAGCCUCACUCGCGUUGGCGCCCAAACUUCCCAGACACGAACACAGCCCAGUAUGGGGUGAGAACCAAGGUGCAGCGCCUGGUAGGCUGACUGGACGGAGAAGCCGCCGUCUGAAGUCCAGCGCCAAAUCAUCCGGUCCUGGUUUCCAUUGAGAGUGAUUCCGUUGAUUGCGUGCCACAAACGCAGGUACUCGGCUGCCGCUGGUGCAGUGACGCCGCCGCCGAUGGUGCGUACCCAGUGCCGAUCCGGUAGCGCCUCGGCGACUGUCAGUCAAUUGGCGACCCGCCUGGGGACGAACUUCAGGAGUGUUGGCGCCAACGUCCUGAUCGACACACCGUCAAUCCAGCUGUCAAGCCAGAACAGCGUCCCUCUUCCGUUCCCGACGAUGGUUUGUGUUGAUGCUCUGAAGAAAUCCCGUGCCUCGGCGGAUUGCUUGAGCGGCAGCUCUGACCAUGCCCGCGAUGCGUCCGAGCUCUGGAGCCAGAGCCACUUGACCUCAAAUGCCGUGUUGACCAGUUUGAAGUCUGGGAUGCCCAGCCCUCCGAGUUCCUUUGGCCGAGUGCAUGUCUUCCAGGCGACCAUCCAUUUGCCUCUCACAUCUCCAUCUUUCCCACACCAGAGGAAUCGCCGGCAGACCGCAUCGAUCUCCGCUCGCGCCCAGGGCGGUAGACCGUCCGCCAUCAUGCAGUAAGUGGGUAUGGCUGCGAGGACCGAUUUUACCCAGAUCAAGCGCCCGCUCUUGGCCAUGAGAGGUCCCUGGCAGGCGGGCAGCCGGCGAGCGACGGCGUCGACCGUGCGUCGCACUUCGGCUUUGGGAAGCUUUGUUGUGCUUAAGGGCAAUCCCAGGUAGCGGAUAGGGAACGGCGCGACCUAGCAUCCAAGGAUCAACUGCAGGUCGGUGAUAGCCUCGUCUGCUCCAUAAAUGUUCGUGAUCGAACACUUCGCCAGGUUGGUUUUGAGGCUCGAGACCUCCUCGAAUAUUCCCAGCAAUCCCUUGAUGGCUGUGGCUUCGUCAGCGUCCGGAUACGCGAAAAGGAUGACGUCGUCUGCGUACAUGCUGCACUGGAAUUUGAUUCCAUCAUUGUCUAGGCUCCUGAGCACGCCUUCUUCUCUAGCUGCUGCGAAUAGGUGGCCAAGUACUUCCAUGGCGCAAAUGAACAGCAGGGGGGAGAGGGAGUCUCCCUGGCGCACACCUCGCUGGUGUCGAAUUCGCUUGCCUGGCUGUCCGUUCAUUAGGAUGCUGGAGGACGCUGUGGUGAGGAGUGUGGCAAUCCAUCGCCUCCAGCGCACCCCGAAACCCAUGGCCUGCAGUACGUCCAAUAAGAAUGGCCACAAGACAAUGUCGAAUGCUUUGGCUACAUCGAGCUUCAACAGUAUCUUGGGUCUCUUCUUCUUCCGCAGCAUGACGGCAGCCCUCUGAAUGUACUUGAAGUUGUCAAGAAUCGACCUGCCACGGAUGAAGGCGUUUUGUUCGGGUGAUAUAAGUGUAUGCAUUUUUGGAGCAAGCCGAAGUGCCAAGAUCUUCGAAAUGAGUUUGGCAAAGCUGUGGAUCAUGGUUAUGGGCCUGUAAUGGGCAGGUUCGCAGGCUUCCGCUGAUUUGGGCAGUAGCACUAUUAGUGCUCCGUUCAACCUGCCGAAUGAUCUGCAGUCCCCAAACAGCACGGCGUUGAUACCCCAGGAGUGCUUGUAGAAGGCACCAGUAUAACCGUCCGGCCCCGGCGCUCUGUCCGGCGGCAGCUCCUUGAUUGCAUUCCAAACCUCCUCCUCUGACAGCGGCUGCUCCAGCGCCUCCAAGUCCUGGGCCUCGAUUCCGAUUGCCUGGAAGUCGAUUGUCACAUCACUCUGACCUGCCGUGCCGAAAACUCCCAUGAAAUGGUCGUGGAUGGCUUGUUCCAUCUCCUUCUGAUCAGCGGUGAACGCUCGUUGCACCCGGAGCCGGGUGAUCAUGUUCCUCCGUCUUCGCCCUCUGGCCAUCAUGUGAAAGAACUUAGUGUUGGCGUCUCCAUCUGCCAGGAAGCGCACUCUGGACCUUUGCCUUGCAAUCGUGCGGUCCAAGGAUGAGAGCCCCAAACAUUUGUAUUUCAGGUCCGAGCGCAGCGCACGCUCUGAGUCGAUGUGCUGGCGCGUGUCACCAAUCUGAUCAAGUUUGAGGAUUAUUGUCCGAGCCAUCAGCAGCUGUUCUCGGAUUAUUCCAAUCCGCCGUGCCGCCCAGCUCCUGAGUUCUCUUGCUAGCUUCCUAAGCAAGAAGUCCAGGCGCACGAUCGGGUCCAGGAUAACCUCGUCACAUGUCCAUGCCUGCUGUAGCACCUCUUGGUAAUCCGCGAACUUCGGCCAGAAGGCCUCAAAGUGGAAUCGUGGCUUGGGAUGGAUCGCCAAGUUCGUUUGCAGGAGUAGAGGGCAGUGGUCUGAAGCGUCAGACGCCAGGGCUUGAAGGUGGCACGCUGGGAACAUCCCCUCCCAAUCCAGCGACACCAGCACGCGGUCCAGGCGCACGAGGGUCGGGUUUUCGCGUUCAUUGCUCCAAGUAUAUCUCCUGCCAUGUAGGUGUAUAUCAAGUAGCUGCAGGUUUGCCACCGUGUGCCUGAAGGCCCGCAUCAUGCGGCGGUUGAUGCGGGCGUUGUUCUUGUCUUCUUCGUCCAGGACUAGAUUGAAGUCCCCUGUUAUUGCCCAUGGCCCGGGGCAGUGGUGCCUCCAGUUCUUCCAGGAAUAGGCUCUUAUCGCCGUCCUCCUGAGGACCGUAUACGACUGAAAGCCACCAUGGAUCCCCACGGUUGGGACGAUCUUGACGGUGCACGAAUAGCAACCAAUGGUCGGUUCCUUCAGCUCGACCUCUGGGAAUCGCGCCGCAAUCAGAAUCCCUCCCCUCGUGCUCGCAGCGGGGACAUAGGCAAAGUCUCUGUAGUUAUUGCCCAACAUAGAGGCUAUGAGCCAGUGGUUUACAGUGCUUAACUUAGUUUCAACUAAACAUACAAUGUGCGCACGAACAUCAGCCGUUAAGGUUCGGACGUUGUCGCGACGGGCUGUGGCGUUCAGUCCGCGGACGUUCCAGCAUAUGACAGUUGUGUUGGCCAUAAACGUGGACUACUGGAUGUGGGCGGCGGCCGGUCAUGGUCUGGACCGUGGCGCCCGACGGCGCCUCCGGCUAUGCCCAUCGAGACAGCCGACAGGGAACAGCUCCCAUAGAGCUUCUUCAUCCUCGGGGUUGCCGCUGAACAGUGCUUCGAACUUUCCUGGUGCUGACUCCUCGUUGAGCGCUGAGGCAUGGCCGAGCCGCUUGAGUACUAGAUAUUCACCACGCUUGGCCGUGGGGAUUCUGGACAGACUUUGCGCUGCGAUCCGGCGGCUUCGCUUGAUGUGAGGCCUGGGCGUUGUCGAUUCCAUUGGGGGUGGCUUGCUGAGUAGCGGUGAGGUCUUGGCUUUCUUGACCCUACGCGCGAAGACCUUGAACCUCUUCUGUGCCGACGGUGUGCUCUUUGGCGUUGCUGCUGGCUUUGCUCCUAGAGCAUUGCGCCCAGGUGUGUUCUAGUCUGCGCCCUGUUCCGAAUCCAGCACCAGGCUCUGCUCUCGGUCCUCCUCCGCCAGUUGGCCGAUGGCCUGUUCGUGGUGGCCCCCGUCGCUACGGGCCGCCUCCGUAGGCUCCAGCUCUGGUAGGCCCAUAGCGGGUUCGGUCUGCUUGUCUUGGGCUUCCAGGAAUGGAAGAUGGGUUGUGCUGCUGAGCCCAAUCUUCUCUGGGGGGCUGUGCACGCGACAGAAGGCGCCUGGGUGCAGCAUCGUGGCGCUGCCCCCAGCGCGGCCACCUGUGUGUCCCUGGGUAAGAGCUCCCCCGGUGCUCCUUCCCUGGUCCCUGUGCCCUCCCUGAGCACGUCAUCGUGCUCACUGGCGAUUGGCUGUACCUCAGAGGUGUCAUCGUGUUGGUGGGCCUUGCACUCCAUCUGCAAGUGAACAGUGGUCAUCUGCUCUUGCUUGUCUUGCUCUGGCAUUGGAGUGGCCACGAUGGACGUGCUGCUCUCUCCCUUCUGAUAGGUGGCAGCGGCGUUAGGGGCAGGUGAAGCGGCAGCAAUCGAAUUGGUCGUCGUGCCGCUGCUUUGCUGCCCUGCGUCCGGUCGCGUCUGGGUCUUUGGCUGCCAGGCCGGUCGCAGCGGCUGCUUCUUUACCUCCUGCCACUUCUGCUUUCUCUACUUUGGACCACGCUGAGUUUGUUGUUCGAAACAGAUCCUUUCCUUCGCCGGUACUCUUGGUUGGGUGUUGGGACCCACCCUGUAGAUAGCUGGCACCCGUUGGCGUGGUCCACGUGUACCGAGCCUAUCGUGGACCGCCACCCUCGGUACCGCAUUCGGGCCCACCCUCUCGGUGGCUGGCACUCUACGUCGCGGCUUCAAUCCAGCUGAGUGCUGCCUGCCAUGGUCGGCAAUGGCGUUGCUCGUCGGCGGCGUGCCGUCCGGCGUCCCGCGAUGGCAGGGGAAUGGGUGGAGGCGCACCCCAGCACCCCUGGCGUCGCGGUGCCGCUUGCGGUUCCGUCCUUCCUCUGCCGGGUCGUCGGAAGUGGAACUGUCGUCGCUGCUGGUCGGUGGGUCGAAGUCGCGAACGCUUCGGAGGUGGACGAUAACCUUGUAGCGCAGCAUGUCUUUCUUGUUGAGGAAUGGCGUCGUACCUCGGAACCGAAACCCUUCACCCUGGAUGGCGUCGGCCGGCGGCUCGGCGACGCUGAGCCAGAUGAUCUUGGGCAGAUUGCUCGGGUUUGCAGUCCACGCCGUGAGCUUGUAUGCAGACAGGUCGUUGGCCACCGCAGUGACCGCUUCCACCUCCUGGAUCCAGCAGUACGGUGCUAGGAUUUUGGCCACCGUCUCUUCGCGCCAUACGUGAGGUGGCACUCCCUCAAGCUCGAUGGUUAGUUUGUAGUACAGCGUGGUCAGAUCGGCGUUCGCCACCCGCGACCAAGGGAGCAGGAUCAGAGUGGAGACUCCGAACGGCGCCGGCGAGGUCGCCAAGACACGAUCUUUAAUGGCCUCCGAGGCGCACAGCACUAUGAAUCGCUGUGGGAAAAACUUCUUGACUCGUAUGUCCUCCGCUCGAACCCCGGCGGCUGCCACCAGGGCGAGCAGCACCUCUGAUGUGGUGUGAUGUCCCGGGUCGCCGCUGGGUUGCGCCACGAGCGCCAGUUGCAUACAAGCUUCGGCACUGUUGAUGGCGUCGUCCCUCUGGAUGUAACACUCGGCCUCCCACGGCUGGAACGCCGGGUGGUCGGGUGGUACUCCGUCGGCGAACUCAGAGCAGGGGUCCUCGCAGGAGUCGUCGAGGAUCCGCGGGCGCGGGCGGUCUGGCGGAGUGACCGCCCUCUCGGCGGCCGAUCCCUGGGGUGUGGAGGAACCGCCCCGCCGGGCGCGGACGAAACGGCUGUCCGGCGCACCUCCGGCGGCAGCUAGCACGGGCGGGCGCUUGCAGUCCUUGGCGAGGUGCCGUGGGCUGCGACAGCGUGCACACAGACGGGGGCGGUUGCAAGUUGCGAUCUUGUGGUUGAACGACAGACAAUUGAGAAAGCGGCCGUCAUACUCCGGCGGGAUUCCACGCGGCGGGGGCGUGCGCUCCUUUCUCUUCCGUGGCGGUGGGCGAUCCUCGUCGCGGUGCAGCACCAACUGCCAACCGUCGCGGUCCGGCGUCGUGGCCCUGCGCUGCUUGCCCAGCCGACGGUGCGUGGUGGCUCUCUGCGCCGCCUGCGAGCCCACACGCUGGGUGGCCGGGAUCCGCUGGCCUGGCGCGGCCGCCCCUGCCAACUUCGCCGUCUGCGAGGCCGUGCGCCCCUCCGCCUCGCCCUUGAGUCGGGCGAUUGUCCUCGCGCGCCGCUUCCGUCGAGCCUGGGUCUUGGAGAGGGCGCCGUGACUCGCCUCGGCCACGGUCUCGCCCGGGCCUUGGCUGUCAGCUGGCGCACCCCCAGGCAAGUCCGCCGGCGAUGGCGCCUGCCUCGGUGCGCCCUUGGUCGCGGCCUCGAGGUACGACGGCAUCUCCGGCGAGGUGUAGUCGAAGUCGCUGUCGCAGUCGGAGUCGGCGGAGUCUGCCCCCCACCGCUGCGACUUGCCCCGUCCGACGGACUUUUCCUUGGGGAAAUAGGGCUUGGCGUCCGGCGAGAGGGGGGAGGGCGAGCGGGGGUAGGGCGAAGAGGGGGGGGGAGGGCGGCGGAACCCUUACCUGGUGCCGGCGGUGAGGAGGUGGCUGGCGGCGCCUGGGUGGCUUCCGCCAGGCUGGUGGUGAGAGCCAUAUCAAUUUGUGAAGCCGGCUAGCAGGCCUUUAUGCGCUGGCUGCCGAGCGGCGACGGCACUGCUUGCGUGGAUCCACGUCGCCGUCCAGAGGCAGAGUACGGUCAAGAAUGGCCAGGAAUCUCAUGGACCCUCGUCUAAACUGCACUUAUGGGAGCUUUGGGGCCUCCAAACACGUUUAAGGCUUAGAAAUCCACCACUCUGAACAAUGAAGCUUCCGGACCAGAAUCCAUCACGUUGCUCAAAUAGCUUCAGAUACUCCAACGAAGGUAAGAUUUGCAAGGCAGAUAAAUCCUCGCUGUUCUGACGGGUUGCGAAGAGCUUCAACUUGUUGACAUUAUCAAGCUGGCUUAGGCCUUGUUCAGUUCUAAAAAAAAUUUGCAGGCAAACUUUCUAGUUCCCCCGUAGUUUGACUGAUGUGAUUACACACGGAGCCUCUAAAAUACUUAGAAACUCCUGACAGACGGUGUAUUGACACAGUCUGAAUAGGAUUACAACUCAUUUACGACAAUUUUACAUAAGUGUUGACACACUGCAGCAAUCAAAUCAUGUGUACGUGGACUACGGAGAAUAGCAAAAGAGCGGAGCUAGUGGUUAAAUAAACUAGGAGGAUUCCCCACGCGUUGUUGUGGGUAUGAAGAAGAAAUAUAAAUAGGUUAUAAUGUUAAUCAAUAAGAAUCGGGAGAUGUAUAUCUAUGAUGUUGGUAAUAUAGUAAUAUAUGUUCAUAAAUGAUGUAGUUUGCUAAUGUGAAUAGUUUGAAUAAAAAUAUAAUAUCAUGUUGUAGUUAGAUGUAUUAGUGGAUGUGAUGUGGACACUUUGCAUGGUGAGAUAGUUGAAUGUGUUAUGUGUUAGUGGAAUGUUCUAGCUAGUGGAUGCUGAUGUGGACACUUUGUAUGGCAAGAGAAAUAGUUAGUGGGGUUUAUCUUUAUAAGAGAUAUAUAGAUAGAUAACCUACAAUGGAUAUGCUUAUUUUCUUUUGUCAAAAACCAUAUCAUUUCAGCAUAUCCUUUAAGGACCAAUAGGCACCUGCCUAAUAGGAAUAAUAGUUUCGAGUCCUUAUUAGUUCUAGAAGUUGAGUUAACACCUAUUGGGUUACGUUGUUAUGGUAAGUUGAUGACACACCACUCAAAAGGACUAAUAAACAUGUGUAGAGCAAUUUGUAGCAAAAUGUGGCUAUAAGUCACACUCAAUGCGGUUGGGAUGACCCUGUCAAAAUUUCCUUCUUUAGUCAUUGUCGAUCUUAGUACGAUAUUUGCGCCAGAAUGAGUGCAAUGAACCCGUCACAUUGAUGGAGUUCAGGUCUUCAGGAUACUUAAGCCCAACGCCCCAACCACUGUUUUAUUAGUUCUGAUACUUGCUUUGUGAAAGGACAGUCCUUGCAAAGAUGAGUUGGAGUCUCCGGUUUUACCCCACAUAAUUUGCAGAUUGGAUCGUGUUGCCAAUUUCGUUUGUUUAAGUUGUUGGCGGUGAGGAAUUUUUAUGUAGUAGUGUAAAGCGGUAUUUGGGCUCAGCUUUGGCUUUCCGUUUUGGCGCGAUUUUUUUUUUUUUUGGCUGAAUGUAGGCGCUCUGAGCUGUGUAUUCUUCGUGUUCCGUCCAUCGCCACGUGAUUUUGUCUUCAGUGUUGGGAGUUAAACUGAUCUCGCUAAUAAUAGCCUCCCAAAGCCUGACGUACUCAACCACCUCUUGUUGUGAUUUUUUCGAGAACAUGCAUUGGCACGUGUUUCAUUAAGCAAAAAGUUCAGAGCUGACAAAAGGUAAUCCCCAUAUUACCAGACACACACUCACACAAGGAAAGAGACAGCGAAGAAGACAAAACCAAAUAGGAGAAAAAAACCAAAGCACUACAAAAGCACCACACAGAUCAACCAGAGCGCCGAGCGUCGAGAACCCCCAGCGGUCUGUACCCUGCCGCGAUGCAGAGAGCAGCCUCCUCCAAGAUGAGUUGGGCAAGUUGCAGCGGUUGCCGGUUGGUUGUAUCGAAUAUCCGUCUGUUCCUCUCCUUCCACAAAUUCCAGCCAACCAGAAAGAAUAAGGAGUCAAAACCGCGCCUCAGCUCCUUUGGAAGAAGCUUACGCGACGUUGUCCACCAAACCAUAAUCCGUUCCUCCUGCGCCGGGACUAGCCUAAGCAGGUGGAACGCCCUGAGACAGACAGUCCAAACCUCCCUGCUGAAGACACAUCCCAAGAUAAUGUGAUCUAGAGUUUCGGCUCACUGAUCGCAUAUGAUGCAUGAAUUUUGAUCCUGCAGCCCAUGUCGCCACCGCCUGUCUGCGGUCCAGCAUUUACCGUGAAGGGCAAGCCAGAAGAAGAACUUAACGCGAGGUGGCGCCGAAGUUUUCCAGAUCAACGCCGCCCCCAACGGCUUAGAGCAGCCAAAAAACAUCGCACCGUAGGCGGACGCCGUCGUGUAGCGCUGGCUGGACGUCAGGUUCCAGGAAAAGGUGUCUGGCGUCUCGGGCGUCAAAUAAACCUGUUCAACUGCCCUGCAUAGCUGUACAAAUUCAGCAACCAAUCUCAACGAGCGUGGCCCAGUGAUAUGGCGCACCCAAGCAAAGUCCUGAAGCGCCUCAGCCACCGUCGUCCCCCAGUGGCGUUUAGGAACCGCCGCGAACACUGUAGGCGCAAGUUGACACACCCCGGAGCCUUGCAGCCAGCAAUUGACCCAAAAGAAGGUGGAUUCGCCACUUGCAACGGUCGAUGUCGUCAUGACUUUAAACAGGUCCAGCACUGCCUUCUCCCCCUGUUCUGGCAACGGUGCCCAGGAACGUGCUUGGCCCACCCUGCGCAGCCAGGGCCAGCGCACUCUUAGGGCAGUCCUUGCUCUCCUCAGGUCAGCCACUCCAAGGCCGCCCAACUCUCGCGGCCGACAGCAAACAAGGCAAGCCACUUUGCAUUUUCCACCUGAAACUGACGCAGCCCCAACCCAAAUGAAGCCUCAGCGAAGCUUAUCAAUACAAUCAAUCGCCCAGGGAGAAAGACAGAGAGCGAUGGACAUGUGCACGGGGAUUGCAAACAGGGUGUUCUGAACCAAAGUCGUCCUACCGGCUUCAUUUAGCAAAUUUACUUUCCAAAGUGGCAGUCUGGCAACCAACGCGUCAAUGAGUGGCUGCUGUCUCAGCUUGAAAAUAGAGAGAGGGAUGCCCAAGUAGCGACUGGGAAGUCCUCAACCCUGCAGUCUAGAAUCUGACGUACCAAAGCAAUGUUUGCUUCAGAGCAGUGCAGGGGCGUCGCGACACUCUUGUCCAGGUUGGCAAAAAGACCCGAGGCAGCACCAAAGAUCCGGAGACAGGACUUCAAGGCGUGCAGGUCCUGGUCCAAGGGUGCUAAGAACAUGACCAAAUCAUCAGCAUACAAGUUGACUCGCUGUACCUGACCAGCCAGCCCAAGCUUCGCCAACAUGCCAACAGAAUCCAGCCAAGACAGUACAUGAUUGAAGACCUCCAUAGCGAGCACGAAGAGCAUUGGAGAAAGUGGAUCCCCCUGUCGUAACCCCCUAGCAUGGCAGAUUCUUCUACCUGGCACACCAUUAGUGAUCACCUUCGUGCUUGCUAUGCAAAGGAUAGCCGAAAUCCAGUUUCGCCACCGUCUACCGCACCCCAUAUGUUCCAGAACCUUAAGCAAGAAAGUCCAGGAAACGAAGUUGAAGGCUUUAGCAAUGUCAAUUUUCGCACAAUGCUAGGGAUUUUCCUCGCGUGCAGAACCUUGCAGGAAAGGCGUACCGUCCUAAAAUUAUCUUGUAUGCAGCUACCCUUAAUAAAGGUGUCAGGCCAUUUGUUCCCAUCCGAUGUUUUGAGCAACGUGAUGGAUUCUGCUCGGAGCCGCCCCUUGUACCCACCUAAUUUUUUUUAGCCACUUGGAAAACUUAUUGAUUUAUCAAUUAAUUACUUUUUGAGCUGAGGCUCUAAGCAUACAUAUCUUGACCAAACACACACACGACGACAGUGAAGGCUGUUGUGCUCUCCACAUCCAAUUGAAAGUUGAAAGCGAUACAGUACCAUAUAUAUUAUUUCUCUCUUGUGGAAUGUGACUUGCAAAUAGUUUGGCAUGCAAGAUGCAAUGGACAGAGCCGAUUGAGACGCGCGGUGGACCCUGUUUGGUAGAAAAUCCAUGUGCUAGCUGCUGGCGCUCACCAGAGAUUCAGAGGAACGUGUCAAACUGGCCGGCCGGCCUUGAAUUAUUGGGGAGAGCACAGCACAGCCACAGGAGCGGAUCAACGACUGCGCAAGCUAGGAAGAGUCAACUCAACUGAUCAGCCACACGGGCCUUCGUGUUUGUGUAUAUACUGGGGCCGGGUUCCUCUUCCUUCUAAUCGGCUUAUUAUCGCCCAUGGAGGUGAUGAGGUGAUGUACGUAAUGGCGACCACCGCUUCGAAGGCCAUCAUGGGCGUCCUCGCUGAGAAGCUCAAAGCUCUUCUUGGCCGAGAGUAUGAUCUCCAGGUUGGCGUGCAUGACGACGUCAAGUCUCUCCAGUCCGAGCUGGAGUUCAUGCAUGCCUUCCUCCAGGACUACGACUACGCGAGCUACCGCCACUACCUGCAGCAGACCACCACCAGUGCCCAAGACAAGGUGUGGGUGAGGAAGGUGCGGGAGCUUGCGUACCAUGUCGAGGAUGCCAUCGACGACUUCACAUGUCGUGUUGGCCCAGCUCCGAAAGAGAUCCCAGACAUGGUCAAGCACUUCGUGUACACGCUCAUGGCUCGCCACCAGAUCGCCAAGCAGCUACGCCGCCUCCGACUUGAGGCGCAGGAGUUGAGCGAGCAGCGCGCGAGGUAUCCGCCAUUGGGCACUCCUCCAAGCUCCACUACUACCGUGCAAUUGCAAUGGCAGUUGCCGCCCCCGCCCGAUGAGACGACGUCGACCAACCUGCUGGUGGGAAUCGACGGACCACGGGAUGAGUUCAUUGCCAACCUUACAAGUGCUGCAAGAAAGCAUGGAUCUGGUCGCCGCCGUGUUGCUUCCAUGGUUGGAAUUGCUGGCGUUGGCAAGACAACCCUGGCCAAGGCUGUGUACCACAGCCUCGAGGACUCGUUUCAGUGCCGAGCGUUCGUCACUGUGUCAAGGAAACCAGACCCUAGAAGGGUUCUCAAGGACAUCCUGCAGCAGGUCAUGAUUACCACUGGGAGUGGGAGUUCCCCAGCCAUAGCUAGUAUGGAGACAUGGGAGGACAGCCAGUUCGUGGACAGGCUCAGAGACAACCUCAAGGACAAGAGGUUUGAUUCUGGUUCACCACCUAGCCUAGCUGUACCUAUUCUCUUCUUUUAUGAUCGAGUUUCAGUUGAUGUGUAGGGACUAGAGACGCUCUGCAAUUCCCUUAGUUAAUUGGCCUAAUUCGUUGGAUUACUGAAACAUCGAUUGUCUGGGAAGGUUCAGUUCAGAUUAUUGCUUGAACAACAGCAGGGAGUUACAGCUGGAUAUGAUAUAUGAAAUAAUCGGACUAAGUUACAAGCAAAUCCUGCUGCAUCCUCUACAAAAUGCUUCUAACCAAAAAUUAAUUUACUACUUCUUAUAAGCUGUGGCGUUUGCUACAAGCAAGCUUGCCGCUGAAUGCAUAUGAAGAUUUAGUACUUCAUGCUAUUUGUAGGAUUAGUAACUUAAAAGAGUUAAUCUGUAAGCAUUUCGGUUGAUUUUUUUUUUUUUAGAAUAAGGAAUGUAACAUUCAGGCCUCCGCCUCCAACGUUCAUAAGUGAAUGAGUUUUAUAGCCGCUUACAGUAUAACCCAUAGCACUUAGACUACGCUCCACCAAUUGAUUUUUUAUUGAUGUUUGUGUUGCAAUGUUCCUAUUUGUUUUUUUUACAACAAUGUUCCUAUUUGUUGAACAAUUCGAUUCAUCCGCACAUGGAUAUCCUUAAUAUGUUAUACUUCGAUUUAUAGUUAGUCAAAUAUAUGAUUUCUUUCCUUUUUGCUCAUCUAACCUCUGUUACGAUGGGAUGCAAUUAUAGGUACUUGAUCAUCGUUGACGACCUAUGGGAAAUACCAGCAUGGGACCGUAUUAGCCGCGCUCUCCCUGACAACUCUCUUGAUAGCAUGAUUAUCACAACUACUAGAAACGAGUCUGUUGCCAAAGCAUGCUGUUCACGGCAUCAUCCUGGUCAUUUCGUGUAUAAGGUAGCAUCUCUGAAGCACCUUGACUCAAGGACAUUGUUUCUUCGUCGAACUUUUGGCUCCGAAGAUAAUUUCCCUCAUGAUUUGGAAGAAUUGUCAACGAAAAUCCUGAAAAAAUGUGCUGGUUUGCCACUGGUCAUAGUCUGCAUAUCGAGCAUUUUGGCUACUAAAGGGAAAGAAGCAACAGAAUGGGAGAAAGUGUACGACUCCUUAGGAUCUGGAAGCAAUGAUGGUCUCUCUUGGUUGUGGCAAGCAUUUGAGGUUAGUUAUGAUGAUCUUCCUCAACAUCUCAAGGUCUGCCUACUGUAUCUUAGUGCAUUUCGAGAGGACUACGCAAUUAGAAGGGAUCGAUUAACACGCCGAUGGAUUACAGAAGGAUUUGUAGAUGAAAAACCUGGUAUGAGCAUGCAGGAAGUAGCCGAUAACAACUUCACUGAACUAAUUGGCAGGAACAUGAUCCAGGCAGUGGACGUUGAUUGUUUUGGUGAAAUUCAUGCAUGCAAAAUUCAUGAUGUGAUGUUUGAUCUCAUCACCAAGAAGUCAUCUGAAGAGAACUUUGUUACAUUCAUACAUGGUAAAUCCACAUCCACGCAGCGACAAUUUGUCCGUCGGUUAUCUCUAGACUAUGGCACCACAACAGAUGAUUUAGACUUGACAAAUUUCAAUGUGACUCAUGUUCGAUCAUUGACAAUUUAUGGGAACAUUAAUAAACUUGAUUCUGUUCCACUUGGUAGAUACCUAAGGAUGUUGGAUUUUGAAUGCUGUGAAGGUGUGAACAGUAGACACCUGAAGGACAUUGGUGAGUUAAUCCUUCUGAAGUACUUGAGUCUUAAGAGUACAUGGAUCAGUGAGCUGCCCCGGCAAAUUGGUGAUUUAAAAUGUCUAGAGACCCUGGAUUUGACGCAAACAAACAUAAGAGAGCUGCCAGUGGAAGUUGCCCGGUUGCAGAGGCUGGUACAUUUGCUUGCUGGUGGUGCAGAGCUACCACAAGGUAUUGGAAACAUGAGACCUCUACAGAUAUUAUGCAUUAGGGUAGCCUGUAAGAGGUCUAAGGAAGCUGUGAAGGAGUUACUUAGAUUAACCAAUUUGAGGAAACUAGACAUGACCUAUGUGCACCUGAAAGGGAAAGAGGGAAGAAAGUACGAAGAUGAGUGUGUGAAUACUUUGUCUUUGAUAAUGAGUGAACUCUUCAAGUGCAAGCUCCAAUCACUGCAUUUGAAUUUAUUGGGAAAUUAUUCUAUUAGUUCAUUCCUACGAAUCUAUCUCACUCCAUCUUUAAUCACUUCACCACCUGAUCAUCUUCAAAAUCUGAGAAUAAUAGGAGACUACGGUUUCCCUUACGUGCCAAGGUGGAUUGGAUUACUCAGUAAGCUCACUGAUCUGGAACUAACUGUCAGAACUAUGUUGGAGAAAGAUGUAGAAAUAGUUGCAAAAUUAGACAGGCUUGUCCGAUUCCGACUCACGGUGAAAGAGCCAUCUACAACUACAAAAGGCAUCAUCGUUCUGGAAUCCGGAUUUCCUUGUCUCAAGGAGCUAUUUAUCAGUUGUAGGAUCAUGCCGGUGUCCUUCAAUCAAGGUGCCAUGCCCAAACUUGAGAAGUUUGUGUUACAGUUCCAUGCUUACCAAGGAGAUUCAAAACGUACUUGCCCAAGCAUUGAGCAUCUCAAAUCUCUUAUUAAGGGAUUCCAAUUCAGAAUAGUAGUUGGCAAGGGUCUCAGUCAUCGUGAAGUCAAAGAUUUAAAAAAUACCUUCAAGAGUGCUAUUUUCAUAUAGCCCCCCUGCAGAGUGGAGUACUGGAGUAGCGGCAGUAAACAUGGAUGGGUAAAAAUAAAUAGCAACAAGUAAGAAAACAUCACAUUCCUUGUAUUGUAUCAACUGAAUUAGCUUGUAUCCUGUAACAUGAUAUCCUACUUUCUUUCUUGAAUAAAAGUUAUGUCGGCAUGUUCUGUGAAUUUUGGUACCUAAGUUCCUACCGGUAAAUGUAUAUAUCCUUAAUUCUAGAGAUAGAGAUAUAGACAUGAGAGUAACUACACGCGCGUGUAGAAAAACGCAUCAUAUAUUGUCACACCCUGGUUUUUAAAAGAAGACUAGAGUCGUCAUAUGUGUCCAGGAAGUCCACACAUAUAACAAAAGAAUAGAAAUAUCAGAAACAAUGUUAUAUAUAGCGGAAAACAUAUUUGUAAUAACACUUACAACUAUCAUAGUACGCGGAAACAGUAGCUAAACUUCUUAGGCUCCAUGGCUGACGGGGGGCUCCGUACGCCAAGCACUUCUGACAAGCUUCUAGAAACUCCAUGACAUCUUUGUCCGUCUUCUGAGGUGUGGGGAAAAUAGUAAGAGUGAGUUCAUGUCGAACUCAACAAGUAUAGGCGGAAAAUAUAAUGACAUGCAAGACUUAAUCAAAGGAAAAAAGCUGACACUGUUUAACUGCAGGUGAGCUUUUUAAGUUGACAAACUUUUAUUAUAAUCUCUUUUAUUUAAACAACCUAUUACUAAAUAUGAGUAAAGCAUCCCAAUCCGUAAUAGAUGAAAGUAAAUUAACAAUAUUAUUAGUCACCAUUAUAAUUAUUAUUAUUAAGAUCUCAGAUUUAGCAACCUCGGAUAGUAACUCGGGGUAGCAACCCAUUAAGAUUAUGGGAUAGCAAUCCCAAUUAAAAACACAGGAUAACAAUCCUGCCAACACGGAAUAGUCAUUCCGCCAAAGCACCAACCUAAAAAGCAAAGAAAGCCGAGGAUGGUGGUUGCGUGAGAGCUGACCUUGAUGGAAAGGACGGCUAGGGUUUCCAUAUUGGUGCAUGGGAACGAAGAGCAGACAUGAUGGGCACCAACCUAGGUCUGUGUCGUCGUCGGUGCCACCACCACACUGGCCAUGGCACUAGGAGCCGCCACCACCAAAGCCACCGCCCUAGGGGCCGUCGCUGCCAGGGCCAAUGCGGCUGUCUGGGCCAAUGCGCCACCCACGCCGAGGUUGGCUAACCCGAGCUAAAAACCACGAGCGUAGACAUCGGCGAGUGCCGGGAGAGGGAAGCUGCGAGAGGGAGAGGGAGAGGGUGAUAGGAGCGAGAGGGAGAGACUGAGAGAGGAAGGGGCGAUGGGAGCAAGAAGCGGAGGAGUCAAGAGAAAUAAUGAAGAAAGGUUGGACUGAAAGAGACGGGAUUUUUGGCCACCACACGAUCCCUUUUUUUUUGCUGGCCGGGACGCCGUACAGGACACGGGGGCACGCCAGCCUCCUGCCGAGCUUAGGCGUCUUAAUAAGAGUAAAUUUACGGUUUAUCUUUCUUUUCCUAUUUUUUUUCUCUGCUCGUUACAUUUUUUUUACUAUAAGUAUUAAUACUUUUUAAUACUACUUCCGUUUGUGUUUAUUUGUCACCAAACUUUCACUGUAGCAAUUUUGACGAUAUUCUUUUUUCUAAAAAAGAUUUUUAGAUACAUCAAGUUUUCACAUAUAUAGUUCUUUAUUGAACAUUCAUUAGUGUUAUAUAUAUUGAAGUAUCUAAGAUAUUUUAGAAGAAAAAAAAGAUGAUCAAAUUUGCUAUAGUAAAAGGUUGGUGACAAGUAAACACAAACGGAGGAAAAUAUAUAUUUAGUUAAAGUUAUUUCUUGGAAAACAAGAACAACAGACGGAGGGAGUACUUCCCGUUCACAUGUUUGGUUUCUCGAGAAAUCAAACUUUUUAAAAUUUGACCAAAUAUAUAUAUAAAUAGGAAGUACACUAAUAUUUAUCAUAUGUAAUAUAUAUUAUUAGGUUGAGCAUAAAAUAUAUACUUUCAUAAUAUAUUUAUUUACAUAUAUAAAUACUGAUAUUAUUUAAUAUAUUUCUAGUUAAACUUUAAAAAAAUUGAUUUUUUGGAAAGGCUGCAUUUACUUAUGGACGAAGAAAGUAUGCUAGUUGGUGACACUGACACCUGCAUUAUCAUCGUGGAUUCCAAGGAUAUGCAUAGCGAUGCAGCUAACACAUACCCCAGUCUUAUUCAAUUUCUUUUACAAAUUAUAAAAUAAAUAAAUCAUUACUAAAUAAUAAUAAAUUAAGUCAUAACAAAAUAAUCAAUAUUUAUAUAAAUUUUUUAAAUAAGACAAUUGACACGAGAUCCAAAACAUCACUUUCAAGGGGUAGGAGUAGCAUUGAGCUCCAGAAAAAAUGCAGAAACUAUAUAUAAUAAAUAUACAUCCCAAAAUAAGUAUCACUUUUAGGAUUCUUGAAAGAGAUGAAUGUUAUUUAAAAGUUACAUAUUUACUCAUCACAAGCUAUUUCAUCUAAUAAUUGCAUUUUGGGCAACAAUAUCAUCGACCGACUUGUCAGAUUGGUUAGUACAGCUAUAAUGCAGCUCAAUCUUCAGCAACUCAGACUCCAAAUAAACAAUUUGUAAUUCCUUCUCCAUAGCCUUAUUGCGUAAACCUUGGAGCUUUGCCUGCAAUGAAAGCUACAAAAUAAUAAGCAUCAUUGGAUUAUUUGCAGAUUAUAUUUUUAUAAUAAAUUAACUUAGAGACAUAAAUGUUAAUAAUAUUUACUAUAUACUCGAUCAAACUUUAACUUUUUUGAUCGGGACAUAUCCCAUAAUUGUAUUCUUUUAUGGACGGAGAGAGUAUCUAGAUAUAACAGAUUAACAAUAUAUCUAGAUACUUAGAAAAAUUGAUGUGCCAAACAAGUUAGAGCGACUUAUAAUUUGUAAUGAAGGGAGUAAUUCAUACACAGUUAUGUCAGAUCAACUGGGAAACAAAACCACACAUAUCUUGUUAGUCUGAAAUAGAUAUUUGUAAAAAUAGUUUAGCUAUAUAUGGUACUGACUACGUCUUCUUAGUGAAACAUAUACUCUGAAAUACAUAUUUUUAGAAUAAAAUUAUAAAUUGUUAAAAAAAAGCAUCAUGAUUUAGUCCUUAAUUAAGGUAGCAGAAAGUAAGGAACAGAAAUUACUGGAAAUCCCAUCUCAUGUUUGUACCAAAAUAAAAAAUGAGAGCCUAGGAGUAAUAGGCUAACUAACAUUAUAAUAAAGGUAGUAAGAAAGAAUAAAAAAUACACGGAAGAACUACUGGUCUUCUAAGGAUAAAAAUAGGUAGCUGUAAUAUAUCAGUGUAUAUUUGCGGUGGAAUUCUUAGAAAACUACAUGUUUUAGCUGCAAACACCAGAGUAAAUUUGGUAGAAAUAGUAACAUAAGUUUUAUUAAUUGAAUUAAAUUCAAAACUGUAGUAUUCCAUAUAUAUUACAUGAAUUUGGAAUCCAAAUAAAUUUCCAAUAAACUGCAUGCGGACAUUGUGCUCAAAUGCAAUCCAUUUGCAUCCAGGGCAGAAUGAAACUGAAUGACUAUUCCCUUGUUACCUCUUCUGACACGCUCUCUGUGUUAUACUUGUCAUUCCAGUACUGAGUGCAUAUUUCGUAGUGCUGCUACACACUUAGUACGUGGACAAUACCAUAAUAGAUUUAGUGUGCAUGAGUGAGAACAUGAGUCAUGUGUGUGACAGAGAGCACUUACUAGGCAGAGUCAUUGACAAUCUUAUCAUAUGCAAUCCUGAACUUUUUGAAUAUGAUCUAAUAUAUCAUAUUGCUGUAUUGAAAAUUCAUUUAUCAGAAUUGUCAUAUUGAGAAUUGAAUUGGAAUAUUGAACCAGCUGAUUACCAAAAAGCAAUAUUGAACCAGCUGAUUGAACCAGCAGGUUGUCAUUUAUCAGACAUGUACAACCUAAAAGCAAUAUUGAACCAGCUGAUUACCAAAAAGUAAUAUCAGGAAAAAGGUAACUAAUAUAUUAAAAGAUUCAAAGAAAAAUAUAAAAUUCAUGCUGAAUAACUAUUUUCAAUAAAAAAACAGGCUUAUGCAGCAGUAUAAUCUGGUUGCAACAAAUGCAGCAGGUCUACACUACAACUUAGAGGAGCUAAUGUACUGUUAAAAAGUGCCACUUUAAAUCAGCUACAAAUCUGAACAUUUGUGCAGUAUAACAAUUUCAUAAAGAUAUAUAGAUCUUAAAUAUGCAUAUUACCUCAAAGAAAUAUCAUUUUGAAGAUAACAAUACUGAUAGACCUAUGUCACCAAUAAUAAUUGAAAAUACCACGCAGGAUAAUUGAUAAAUAAACUCAUUAGAUCUAAAAUAAACAGUUCUGCAAUACAAAAAUAGCAUUCAUAUUGAACAAAAUAAGCACAUCUGCAACCUACAAUUUUUUUUAUAUCUGCAAAAGUGGUAGUAUAAAAUGAAUGUUGGCAAUUAAUAGAUGGCUCAAGAAAAACUUUUAAAAAAACUAUCUGAUACUAAAUAUGUGAACUCCUGAUACGAGUAAAAGAUACUAACACACUAGACCUACACCACCCAAAAAUGGGAACUCACGCAGACAGUAGACUUGAAGCAGGAUACAGAACUAACAUCUAAGAAAUAUAAUGUUGUUGUUUGAAUUUAGAUUUCUAACGACAAUUAGUAGACCCCAGUCUAGAAAGAUGUUGUAUUUCAUAUAACAUAAACAUGACAAGUCAGAUGAAUAAAAAGAAUGCAAAAUGACAGUGCAUGGGAGGUUGAGAAGAAAUAGAUUGCUACUGAAAAGUGAGUAGACCUAGGGAUAAUAAUACGAUUUUGGAACUAAUAUUAAUGUCAAUAAUUCCUGCACGGACACCACCAUUAGGACACCAUUUUCAGUACAAAAGUGCGGAUCUGACAUGUGAGUCAAUAAACAUAUAUAUAUUAAACAUGAGAUGCAUAAGAAAUGAGACUGAAUUUAUUUCCUAAUUUCCUACACAGGAAUUUUAACAAGAAAACAAUAAGCAAUGUCAAACUAUAUUUACUAAUUAGUGUUUUUUCGACUGACAAAGAAGCUAAAUGGAUGAAAUUAUGUGGAAAGUAUACUAAGUUAAGGAUACAUGCUGUUAAAGCACACACACAAGUUCUGCAUUGCCAGGAAGAAAUAUGAAAUAUUACUGAUGGUAAAAACCAUAUUCACUCACGGUAAAAACUGCAGUGUUUGAACUACAUACACAGAUUUAUGUCCUCUGAAGUGCAAGGACUAUCCAGACGAAAAGAAUAGUGAAAAAAACAAACAAGAAUCAGUUCUGAAUAAAAAAGCGAGGAAGCAAGAACUCAAUAGGAAAAACCACCGACCACCGGAUGCAGAUCCAAACGAACCCAGGCAGCAGCAUGCAGAUCCAGUCCACCACGAAUCGACCCAGUGUGAAUCGAACAAGAAAAUUAAAGGAGCAGCAUAUAUUAUGUUAGAAUGUUGAAAAAAACCAUGACCGAGCUAGAAGUGCAUCUAUUUAGUGACUUAGAAAAGAAAAGAAUAAUCUAGGGGAGAUGAAGGAGCACAAAACUGUCGACCAAAAUUCUGAAGAAAAAGAACAAAAUCAUGUAGAGAGAGUGAGAGUGAGAGUGAGAGUGAGACGAGUGUCGGAUUCGGAUCUGAAAGAGAGAGAGCGAGAGAGGGACAGUGAGAGAGACGGAGAGAGAGGGACGAUGGGAGAGAGACACCGAGAGCUCUGUAGAGGGAGAGAGAGAGAGAGAGAGAGAGAGAGAACAAGAGUGCUGGAGAGAGAGGAACAAGAGUGUAGAGAGAGAGAGACCGAGAGCUCUGGGAGUGUGUGUGAGAGAGUGUGGCGACAGGUAGGAUCGGAGAGAUUGACGGAGUUUGGAACCACGGCGGCGGCUGGGAGACGAGAAAAGACUGUGAUGAUUGGGAAUGGGAACUGUAAGGCUGUUUGGAUGUAGUUAGAUUCACAUCAAUUUAUAUGUGUUGGAGUGGAUUGGAGUGAAAUUUGAACUAAAUUUUAUCUCAAUCCACUCCAACGGCAUAGGAUACACGUGAAAACCCGUGGAUAGAUGAAGGCGGGUGGUGUCCCCCUACUGACAAGCAAUUUUGACCACCGUUGAAUGCAGAAUAGGAGAACAUUCAUACUGGUAGUUCUAAACCUAUUUUUACUAGCACUUUUAACAACUACCAGUGUGAAAGAUUAAUUAAAGUCAGCUAAUUUUAUGGGCGUCAUCUAAGAACCACCUUUGUAAAUAUUUACAGUAGCGAGUGAACCCUGUAAAUCGAUUUACAAUCACCGUUGUGAAUAAGGCUAAAAAGUUAGCAAAAAAUUUAUCAGGGAGAGUCGCGGUUGUGAAGGCUAAAAGAUUAGCAAAAAAGACUCACUACCUCAGGUCUCGCGGGAUACGUCGCCCCUUACCACUGCACCCCUAAAGUCACUUGUGUGACUGAGCACGAGAAACAAUCCCUAGUAUAUUUACUCUGUAAAAUUUUCAAAUGAAGAUUUGAAGCCUUAAGCGAAUUUGAAUGAAAAAAGUUUCAACUUUGUAGUUGUAGAUCUUUUCGAAUACUAUAAUUUUCAUUUAGACCAUGUAUCCAUUUGAAAAACUGAAAAAAAAAACUAACUGUAUUUACACUGGUGGUUUAUAGUAGCGCUAGGUUAAGAAAACAGUCCGUAUAAAAUUUUUACUAACCUGUAUUUCUACUAGCGAUAGACUUAAGAAAACAAUCACUAAAUGUAUUUACACUAGUGGUUUAUAGUUUGAGCCCACAGUUUAUUUGUAAUGGCGCCUAUAUAUUAUGAACCGCUAGUAAAAAGAUUACAACCAUUAGCAAAAAUUGAUUGUGACAAGUGGAAAAACCUUUCGGUGAGAUAGUAAGAGAACCAUAUUCAUGAAAAAAGAGUGUCUGGUUAUUUUUUGUAGAAUGUGUUUGGUUAGUGGUUACUCAGAGCAUCUCUAAAAGUUUCCAGAAAUUAGUUCCCAAAAUUAAUGAGUUUUCCAAGUCGUCAAAAAGAAUUAGAACCAGCAAAGAAGGCUUUCUCCAACCGUUUCCGGCCUCUAAUAAUUGCUUGCCAAUAAUUUAUAUUUUUUUAUUUAAAAAACACUCGCAUAUAGCAACAUAUGCAAACAUACCAUACAAGUCACUACAAAAAUUCAUUAAACGAGGGGUAUAUUGGACAUCAUGUUUAGAUUUGAAAAUUUUUGGCCAAAGUGGUAAAAAUUUUUGUGGUCAGAACUUUAGCUCAAAAGUCUGACGCACGCGAAAAAUUUUAGGUAUUUAGUUUGUCAAUUUUUUUCUGACACGACUUGGGCUGCAUGCAGUUGUUAUUGGUGGGCUUACAUGGGAGUGCGUGCACAGUAGCAGGUUCUGCAGCCCAAAAUUUUUGCCCCGUUUAGGCCUUGUUUAGUUCCGAAAAAAUUUCGGAUUUCGCUACUGUAGCACUUUCGUUUUUAUUUGACAAAUAUUGUCCAAUCAUAAACUAACUAGGAUCAAAAGAUUCGUCUCGUGAUUUACAGACAAACUGUGUAAUUAGUUUUUGUUUUCGUCUAUAUUUAAUGCUUUAUGCAUGUGCCGCAAGAUUCGAUGUGACGGGGAAUCUUGAAACCUUUUUGGAUUUCGGGGUGAACUAAACAAGGCGUUCCUAGACCCUAAUUCCACAAAAAAAAAUCUUUAGACCAAAAAAUUUCAAAUCUAAACAGACCCAAGCCAUUUAUCACCAAACUGGAGGGCAAAUGCCUAACCAAAAAGUUUGAUGAACGUGAUGUACCAUCCACUAGUGGAGGACAAAUGCACAACCAAAAUGUCCUUACCCAGCCAUUUAUCACCAAACAGAGAAGCUGUUCUA